rnacentral:lncRNA from 1 species
GAGAAAUGGCAAAAGUCCAAGGGAAGGCAAACGUUCGCAAGAUUGACAGUUGUGCAACUUUAAGGACACCACAUUUGAUAAAGAAUUAUCGGAUAACCAAUUUGGGAAUUGUUUACCACCAUAGUUCCUGAUUGACAACUCCUCCAAGUGUUUGGAAGGUUGUAGAUUCUCAAUUACAUCCCUUUCUUUGGCAGAAUCAUCAGGGUUCCGGUGCGAAUUCCAUUCAAACUCUAGUUCCACAAUGCGUGUUUUAUUUUUCAAAUCUGCAGCUAAUGCAUCUGAGGGAUUCUCAAUAUUCUGCAGCUCCCUAAAUGAUAAUCUUUCAUGAACAAGAUUGAGCUCUCCUAAUUGCUGAAUAGUGAACUCGCUACUUUUACCAACGUCAAACGAACUCAUGGAUACUUGAAGAUUCUUCAACUUUCCUAGAUGCGGUGGCACCUUUAUAAUGUUAGUAUUUACAAAUUCAAGGCGAUGCAAAUUGGUGAGUUCAUGCAAAUUUGAGGGCAGCUCCUUCAAAGAUCUACAAUGAUUCAGCUUCAGUAUUUGCAACUUGUAGAGUGAACAUGUGGAUUCAGGUAGUUUUUUAAUGCGAGUAUGGGAAAGGUCUAACGAACGAAGAUGUUUAAAAUUGCAAACAGAGUCAGGCAGCUCUUCAAUGUUUGAACAGUGAGACAGAGAUAAGACGCGUAAGAACUUAAACUUGGAGAACAAUUCAUGUAUCGACAUCUUGCAAUUCCAACUACGGUCAUAAUAUUCAUUCAUUCCCCACCAUGUUGGCAUAAAUGUACGCAAUUUUUUAGUAUCACAUGAAGUUCCAAACUCAUCAAAAUAUCGUUCGGUAAUCAUUGAAACUGAAAAAUGACGGGUUGUUUUCUGUGUACAUUUUGCUUGAUCAACUCUCAACCUGAAAUAGAUGUCCCCACAAACAUAUUUUGCCAAAUCAUUUAGAAGGUCAUGCAUGACAAAUCCUUCUCUUUUUUUUUGCUCAGCAAAGACAAAUCCUUCUUUAUAUAUGCUUGAUUGUUGAAAGAAGGACCUUGAUAGUAGAUCAUUGAAGUACUGUUGGCCAACUUCCUCUGGACUCGUACUGCAUUGAUGGCAGUUUAGGAAAUUUUCAGCCAUCCACAACUGAAUUAAACACUCCUUGUCAAACUCAUAAUCCUUGGGGAAUAAAGCACAGUAAGCAAAGCAUGUCUUGAGAUGGGGAGGAAGGUGGUGAUAGCUCAAUGCUAAAGCAGGAACAAUACUGUCCUUUAAUUCCCAUAUUUCACUUUGGAAUACGCUUUCCCAUUCCCAGGCAAAUGGUUUGUUGUGUAAUAGACUUCCCAUUGACUUCAAGGCCAGAGGAAGUCCUUUACAUUUUUUAACAAUCUUCUUACCAAUAUCUGUGCAUACUGGAUCUCGUGGAAGAUUAUCAUCUCUGAAUGCAUGUUUUGCGAACAAUUCCCAGCAAUAAUCUUCUUGUAAUUGCUCCAGCUUGUGUUGUUCUGACCCCAUGGUAGAAGCAACUUCCUCACUGCGUGUUGUGACAAGGAUCUUACUUCCCUGAGCUCCAUAAACAAGAGCAUUCUGCACAGCUUCCCAUUUAGGUCUGCUUUCGUUCCAAACGUCAUCCAAAACGAGGAGAAAUUUUUUAUCUGCCAAUUUUUCUUUUAGUCUUCUCUGAACUAUUUCUAGCUCUCUACCAUGAUCAGUCGAAUCAGUAAUCGUGUCAAGAAUUGCUCUUGAUACGUUGAAAACAUCAAAUUCCUCUGAAACACAGAUCCAAGCUUUGACAUCAAACUUACUCACUAUUCUUGGGUCAUUGUAUACAAGUUGGGCAAGCGUGGUCUUACCCAACCCGCCCAUGCCCACGAUAGAAAGUAUUGACAGCUUGUUAUCAGUGUUAGAAGUGAGCCAGUUAAUGAUAAUUUCUUUAUCAUCAUCUCUGCCACAAAUAUCACUUUCUACCACCAAAGAUGUUGAUUGUGGCACUUUACCACCAGAUCCUGAUCCAACUACAAGAUCACUAGGCUUUUUCAAACCUAGAUUAUCCAUCCGGCUUGCAAGAUCAUCUAGGUCAUCAAGGACAUUUUUCAUGCUGGAAUUAAUUUCCUUGUUAAAGGAAGUAACAGGGGAAGAUUUGAAGAAAUUGGGUACCUUGCAAGUACAGGUUUGAGAUUCAGAUUGAGGUUGAACUUGGAGUCUGGAGUGUUGUAUUUCAUCCAAGACAUCUUCAACGUCAAGCAUGGCAACUUUGAGCUUAAUAAGCCAGUCUCUCACUGGCAUAUUUCCAAACUGUUUUUGUUCAGCAUCAUCAAGCACAGCUUGGAUGGAGAGGAGCUUGUUUUCUAAGUCCUUCCGCAGCAUCUGGUCGAUCUUUGUUCCACGAAAGAAAUCCAGAACUUGAGGAGAAGCCAGCUUCUGAAAUAGAGCCCCGAGGAAAGAAGAAAGAACAGCACCACCAACGCAUUCUAAUGCCAUUGUAUGGUAGGAAAGGGAGCAGUGGAAUCGAUUAAUGGAAAUCUGUGUUCUCAAGUGCAGCUUAUGCCAAUCACUCAGUGGAAUGAAGUGGUCAUCAAAUCAAAGUAAAGAUCUUUUUGUUUCAAGGUCAGUCAACCAACAACUACUGAGUCUUGCCAACAACACAAACCUUAACAGCUGUAUUCUAUCAAUGAGUGAGUGGCUAUGAUUCUGCUGAGGGUAGCUCUUAUUCUCAUAACAACUUAUUCAUUAAUUGCCUUUUGUAUAUUUACUAGUGUAAAAUCUAAAGAAAUGUUUAUAUACUUUAUAAAGUGUGUAAUUUUUAAUUUAUAAUCUAAUGAAAAUCAUAUGGCCUAAUCAUAAAGUAUACCUUUUAAAGAAUAAUUAGUAUAAUUAGAAUUUAAUUUUCUUUUAUAUAUAUAUAUAUAUAUAUAUAUAUAUAUAACAAAUGUAUAAUUAGAAUUUACUUUUCUUACAUAUACACUUAUUAUUAUAAAGAAUAUCUUUUUCCUAUAUAUGAUUCUCUAAUAAAUCUGUGAGAACAUUACAAAUUGAUAAAAUAAUUUAUAAAUCUUUAUUUUUAAUUUAUUAUUCCUUCCAACAAUAUGAUUUAUCACAAUAAAAAAAAUUAAUCAACGUUUCACAUUGUAUAUUAAUUUAAUUCUUAUAUAAAAAUUACCUCUUUCUCUAAUAAGAAUAUUCCAGAACAUCACAAAUUAUUAAAAUAUUUUAUAAUUUUUUAUUUUUAAUUCAUACUUCAAUCCAAUAAUAUGAUUUAUCUUAAUAAAAAAAUUAAUAUGACGUUUCACAGUCUACACUAAUUCAAUUCUUAAAUUAAAUUUUGUAAUUAUUAGAUAAAUUAAGGUUAUCUUUAAAUACCAGUUAAAUUAGUAAAUGAAACAAUUGUCUUAAAUAUGAUUUAAUGAUACGUUAAUAAGCAUUAAAUAUCAAUCAAAUGAUACAAUUUAAAUUACAUGAAUAAAAUUUAUUGUUACAUUAAAUUCUAUCAAAAACACUAUUAUUAAUAUCAUGAUUUCAAUUUUUAAAAUAUUUAUUAUUGAAAAUAUAAAAUUGAUCCUAAUUCAAAAUUUUAAUUAAUUUAUACUAAUUGUAUUUACGUCAAACUUAAUUUAUGAUAAUAAAAACGAAUUAGAAAGUUUUUAAUAUUAAAUUGAAUUUGAAUAAAUGAAUUUUGAAGAGUAAUAUUUUGUUGUUUCUAAUGCUGAAAACUUUUAAAUUUUAUAUCCUACAAAUUAAAAAUAAAUAUUUUUUCCGUUUAACCCAUUAAAUUGAAUUUGUAAAAUAUAUUUUUUAUAACUAUUUUAUUAUACUUUUUUUACAAAAAUUAGAAAUCAUGGUUAUUUUUUAAUAAAAUUGUGUAUUUAGUUAGGAUUUAAUAAUUUUUUACAUGAACAAAUGAGACAUAUCAUAAAUAAUACUAAAUUUAAGUGCAUUAGUGACACAAAAUUAGACUAAAAUUUUGCAAUCAAUUAAAUAUUAGAAAUGCUUAUAACUUAUGUACCUACCUAGAAUUUUUUUUAAAAUUGGAUUUUUAUCAAAUAUUUAUUCUAUUCCCAAUUAUUAUUAUUAUAAAAUUGAAUUUUUUAUUUUGAUUUGGAUUUAGUUAUAAUUUCUUAUUAAAUGUAUAAAUAUCUUCUAUAUUAAACAUUAUCAAAACUGUAACAAAUAAUCAAUAAUUCAAAUAUUUUUAUUGUUCAAGAUGCAUUUUUUUGUAUUUUUAAUUAUAAUUAAAAUUUUAAUCAGAAUAAUAAGUAUAAAAAAAAUUAUUGAAGAUUUUGAUCCUUAUAUAAACUCAUAUAAAAUUAUUUUAUAAUAACUUUAGAAGUGCAAUUAUCUAAUUCAAAAUUUAAACAUGGUAAACAAUAUAAAGUUAAAUUUUAAAAUAUUUAUUCAUAUAAGUAUAAAAUUGAUCUUAAUUCAAACUUUCUAAUGAAGUCAAAAUUAAUUUAUCAUUUAAAUAAUAAGAAACAUAUAUAGAUGUUAAAUGAUUUAAAUGAAAAUUUUAAAAAUAUUUAUUAAUUCGAUCAAUUUAAAUUGUUGUUACAUACGCAUCUACCUGGGUAUCCUCUUAGAUCCAUGCCUAAAAGUUGUUAUAUAUUCCAAUUAUAAAGCAAAUUAUAUGUGGGAAAUGAAAAGGAUAAAAUAAUUGAAAAUAAAAUGACGAUAUGUCUUAUAUAAAAAUAAAAAAUGGAACGAUGACAUAGUAUGAUAUAUGUCUUUAUAUAUUAAAAAUUUGACGAAUAGAUAUAUGCAUGUUAACCUUAAAUGAAUCUAUUUUGGUAAAAAAAAAAAAUCUUUCUCUUCAAAUACCAUUAUUAGGUAUUAAACUUUAAGACAACAAUAGAAAAACAUUUUUCUUCAAAUAUUUUGGAUGAAAAAUAAUGUUUUGAUUGAAGUUUUGUACAGGAACUCAUUUGGAUGAAAAAAAUAGUGUAAUAUAACAUAAAAUAAAAAAUUUUCACUUGUUUAUUGAUAUUUACACAAUUAAUAAAAAAAAAUGAUUAUUGAUUGAAAUGAUAUUUUUAUGUCCACUUAGGGGUGGGAAUAGGCCAGGCUUUGAAAGGCCUGAGCCUAGACUACGAUGAAUUUUUGAGGCCUGAGCCUAGCACGAUGAAUUUUUGAGGCCUGAACCUGACCUAUAGUUUAUAAAAGGCUUUUAUUUUGGCUCGGCCUGACCUUUUUAAAAGUCUAGCCUGACCUGAUAGCCUUUUUAAAAGCCUUCUUUACAUUACAUCUUUAAUAUCCCUUUUGCUCUUAAGUAGACACGUAAUAGGAAAGUUAAAGGAAAAGAAAACGUUAACAGAAAUAGGAAAGCCAAUAAAAAUAAUGAGAAAUAUAAAGGGGCACAUGAUUUACACCUAAAUUGUAAUUAAAGUCUUACUUGAUUAUAAGAAUAGAAAUUAUGGAACAGUAAUGUGUAAUCAAAGUCUGAUAGUUUAAAAAAAAAUUAAUUGUACCAAAAAAAUAACAUAAGUAUAUAUUGGUACCCAAAAAAUAACAUAAGUAUAUAUACAUAUAUAUAGGUCGGCUUAUCAGGCUUAUAAGAUUUUUUAAUAAGCCUAAGCCUGAUCUAUUUAAUUUAAUAGGUUUUUAAAAAAGUUCGAGCCUAACCUUUUAAUUAAAUAGGCCAGUUCAAGCCAGAUUUUAUGUAGGUCAGGUCGUAGGCCCUUGUAGGCCGGCCUGACCUAUUCCCACCCUACCACUAAUUACUAUUGAUGUUAAUGUUUCUAAUAUUUUGGUUUUAUUCAAUUUUUCUAAUCAAUUAUUUUUUUUGUUGACCUUUUCAUUUCACCGUAACAUCCAUGAACAUAUAUCAUAUGUUAUUUUUCAUAUUCUAAUUAAGAAAACAUCAUAGAGAAAGAGAGGAGGUCUUAUUUCUUAAGUGUAUUUCCCAAAUUUCCAACUUCUUGGAUAUUCUCUUACUUGAUAGGAUUUUUUAACCCGAUAUAAUAUAUUGCAUGCAAAUUUGUUUGAUACCCUUACUUUGUUCACUUAAUGAAAUAUUUAAUUAAGCAAGUUUAGCGCAUUUAGUCAGAUAGUAUGUUUAAAUUUGAUGAUUUAAUUAUUAUGUCCAAAGAAUGGUAUUCAUUUCUUGGUGGUAGCUCUUAAGUUAUGUCCGAUCUUGGUUAAUUAAUGAAAAGUUUAGUCUGUCUAGUCAAUUUCAGUGGUUAAAAUACCGUACAUGUAUAUUUAAGUCGGCAAAUUUACGCAAAGGGGUCACAUUUAGAAACUAUUUAUGCAAAGGGGUCUGUUUUCUAAGUAUUUACGGAGGGGGUCAAUUUUUGCAUAGAAGCCGCCAAUGAUAAUGACGAGAAAGCAUGAGCCGCCAUUGUCAUUGGCGAUACAUGGCUGACGUGGAAGGUGCCGCCAGUGGCACUGGCGAUACUGGCUGACGUGGAGGGUGCCGCUUUCUCCAUUGGUGAGACACGCCACACAUAGGGUCUCGCCUCUCCCAUUGGCGAGACACCUUCACGUUGCAGGCUCACACUGUUAUAGCUUGCCUAGGGUCACACCUUCACGUUACAGCUUGCCCAGGGUCAGUCACAUCAGUGUUUAGGGUUGCAGCCUUAUGUAGGCUAGGUUACAGCUUGGACCUGAAAAUGCAGAGUAGCCUUUUGACCGUUGCUUCUUUACAUUUUCUGCUAUAAAAAAAAACCUCCAUCAACGUAAAUACUACACUUCUCCUUCCAAGCUCAGCUUCUCCUUUCUUAAUCUUGAGUCUCCUUUGAGUGUUUCAGUGUGUGCGUGGUGCGCUUCCUUAAAGUUUUGCUGUGUGCUUUCUUUUCCAUAAUUCAUGGUAAGUGAUUUUCUUAAAUAAAAUUUUUAUAUUCUGUUAGGUUAGUUAGUAUUAAUAGGUAUUGUAAGUUUAGGUUAAUUAGCAUUAAUAGGUAUUCUAAGCUUAGGUUAGUAACUAUUUAUGUUCUUAAUUUUUAUGUAUUAAUAGAUAUUUCAAGGUUAGGUUAGUUAGUAUGAAAAUAUUAUUUAGUUAUUGUAUAUAUUCUUAGAUACUAUAUAUAUAUAUAUAUAUAUAUAUAUAUAUAUAUAUAUGAAUGAUACUUUAGUUAAGGCACACUUAAUAUAAGUUUUGUAAUAUUAGACACAAGUUAAUAUUAGCUUUAGAUAUGUAUUUGUAAAUUUUAGGCUCACGUAAAAUUUAUAUAUUCUGGUAAGUAAUUUUUAAAUUAAAUAAGAUAUAUAUUCUGUUGUUAAAUUAUAAAAAUAGUAGGUUAGUUAGUAUUAAUAGGUAUUCUAAGCUUACGUUAAUUAGUAUGAAAAUAUUAUUUGAUUAGUUAGUAUGAAAUUAUUAUUUAGUUGUUGUAUAUAUUCUUAGAUUUUAUAUAUGUGAUAUUAGCUUUUAUAGUAUUAGGUAUAUAUUUACACGCAUGAUACUUUAGCCAAAUAAAUAUAUAUACACGCAUGAUACUUUAGCCAAGGCACACGUAAUAUUAGCUUUUGUAGUAUUAGGCACAAGUUAAUAUUAACUUUAGGUAUAUAUUUAUAAAUUUUAGGCAUACGUAAAUUUUUAGUUUUUGUAAUAUUAAAUACUUCACACGUAAAUAAAUAAUUGUAAUAUUAGACAUUUCACACACGUAAAUUUAUCUUUUUAGUAUUAUAAUUUUGUAUGUUAUAUAUGGAUAGUACAGUUUUAAAUAAAUGAGUUGAUAAGUUAAUAUUAUUUGAGUUAAUUAUUUUUAGUUAGAAUGUUAUAUAUAUUAUUUUUUAGUUUUAGUUUGUAGGUUAAUAUUAUUUGUUUUAGAAAAUUACGUGAUUAAAUAUAUGAUACAUUGUAAAUUAUUAUUAUUUUUGUAUUACACGUUGUUUAAAUAAUUUUUUGCAUUUCAAUAUUUAUUUGUAUUUUAAUUUAUUUGGUAGUCCAUAUUUUAUUUAAUUAUUUAUUUUUUAAUUGUAGAAUAUAUUAUGUUAUUUAUUUAAAUUUGUUUGUGUGUAUGUAUAUGUAGAAUAUAUUUAAAUUUUAUUAUUUGUAUAAUAUAUUUUGUUAUCAAAUAAAUAUAUUUUGUUAUUUAUUUAAAUUUGUCUUCACAUGUAUUUUAAUUUAUCUAUAGAAUAUAUUCAAAAUUGUCCAGUUUUAUUUAUUACAAAUUUAUUUAUAUAUAUUUAAUAACGUUUUUAUAAAUCUGCGUAGUUUAAUUUAUAUUAUCUACAUAUAAUGUAUAAAUUGUUUUGUGAAUUUAUUGUAUUAUAUUUUAUUUUGCAGUAUCAAUGGCAUCUUCAUCGCCAUGUCCAUCACAUAUCAAAAUUAAGUCUAGCCCGAUCGAUGGUGAUGUAUUACGGAUGCAACCUAAGCAUGAUUCAGAACAUGUUUGGAAUGGGGAAGAAGAUCGGAAAUUACAUAUCAGACGAGUUGUCCCCACGUAUCAAGGGGAAGAAAUUCCAGAGCAAAUUUUUCCUUUCCUUCGACAAUCUGGUUUUUACUGGAUUAUGAAGAUGGGAUACUUAAAAAUAAAUGCCUCAUUAAUUAGUGCUUUGAUAGAAAGAUGGAGGCCGGAAACACAUACGUUUCACAUGAGAUGCAGAAAGUGUACUAUUACUCUUCAAGACGUCUCUAUAUUGUUAGGUCUACGUGUGGAUGGUUUACCAUUAAUCGGUCCAACAAAUCUUAAUUGGGCUGAUUUAUGUGAGGAAUUAUUGGGAAUCAGACCACAAGAAGGAGGUGAAAUUAAAGGUAGUGUGGUUAAAUUAAGUUGGUUGGCUCACCAUUUUGCACAAAUAAAUAACCACGACGACGAAGAACAAGUACGAAGGUUUGCCCAUGCAUGGAUACUAAGAUUCAUUGGAGGUGUCUUGUUCGUUGACAAAUAACAAAGUUUCGCUAAGGUACCUUCAAUUUUUAUGUGACUUUGGAGAUUGUAGCACAUAUGCAUGGGGACCUGCCGUACUUGCUUUUCUAUACAGAGAGAUGUGCAGUGCCACCGAUUAUAAAACUAAAUCAAUCUGAGGUAUGUGCAUCUUACUACAAAUGUGGGCAUGGAAACGAUGUCUAACCUUGGCUCCAAAGAGGACUCCUUCUCAAGUAGAAAAUAAACCACUGGGGCACAGGUUAGUCAUUUUUAAAAGCGUCUUUCAUUUGUUGGACCAUUAAUCGGUCCAACAAAUCUUAAUUGGGCUUAUUUAUGUGAGGAAUUAUUGGGAGUCAGACCACAAGAAGGUGAAAUUAAAGGUAGUGUGGUUAAAUUAAGUUGGCUGACUCACCAUUUUGCACAAAUAAAUAACCACGACGACGAAGAACAAGUACGAAGGUUUGUCCGUGCAUGGAUACUAAGAUUCAUUGGAGGUGUCUUGUUCGUUGACAAAAGCAGUAACAAAGUUUCGCUAAGGUACCUUCAAUUUUUAUGUGACUUUGGAGACUGUAGCACAUAUGCAUGGGGACCUUCCGUACUUGCUUUUCUAUACAGAGAGAUGUGCAGUACCACCGAUCAUAAAACUAAAUCAAUCGGAGGUAUGUGCAUCUUACUACAAAUGUGGGCAUGGGAACAAUGUCCAACCUUGGCUCCAAAGAGGACUCCUUCCCAAGUAGAAAAUAAAUCACUGGGGUACAGGUUAGUCAUUUUUAAAAGCGUCUUUCAUUUCAAAAGAAUAAAUGAUUUUAGGGUAUAUUAAAUUUUAAUCUUUGUAGGUGGCUGCGACGUGGAAACCAACAUAUUGACAAUGAUGAUGUGAGAGUUUUUUGUUGCAAGUUGGAUAUUAUGAAACGUCAUGAGGUAAGAACAUGGUAUUGUAUUUGUAAAAUAAAAAAUGAUGUGUUAUUUUACUAAAAUGAUGUCAACUAUGUUGUUAUAUGCAGUUUGUGUGGGAGCCUUACACAACAACUGUUAUAUCAUUGUUGCCUCCCAUUUGUGUAGUCAGAAGUGUCGCGUGGUGCGCGGUGGUGCCACUUAUUUGUUUCCAAGUCAUUGGGUCUGUAAUUCAAAUAAUAAAUUAAAAUAACAAAUAACACAAAAGUAGGAUAAUAUGAACAUAAAAAAUGUACCUACUACGCAAGUCGCAAUUAAAUCUGAAUCAAGCUUCUCAUGGUCUUGUGUCAUAGUCAUAUUUAGACAUGUGUGCGGUCCACCCCAUUGUGUCACUUUUCAUGCAUCAGUUUUUUUAGAUAAAAUUGCCCUCAUAUAAAAAGGGCAAGGAGACUGUGCGCUAUUGUUGGGGCAAUAAACGAUAUAUUUGUGCGAUUUCGUUUCAACAACCUUAAAACUUUGAUGCACCUUCAUCACAUAUUAUUUCAGUAUAUUUUUGACCACAUCUUUACUGUCAAAAUCUAUGCCAACAUAUAAUUCUUGUCCAACAUUAAAAGUCGUUGGCAUGUCCAAACCACAAAUGUCCUCCUCGUUCGGAUGACUCCAAUUGAUAUUAUUAUAAUGUAAAGCAUCAUUUCAAAAUGGAUUUUGAAUUCCUGGUACACCUAAUAAUUUCAAAAAAAAAAUCACGUCAACAAACUACUCGUAUUUAGUUACCAUUAAAUACAAUUCUCAUAAAAAGAUAGAUGUAUUCAACUAAUUUUGUAUUUCAUAAAAUUUACCUUCAAUUGGGUGAACAAUUGAAACUGGUUCAACGAUGUCGAUGACUUCAUCGUCUGUAUCAGAUAUUCCAUCAACACUAUCAUCUUCAUCGAAAGACUCUUCAACGUAUGAGUUAGAUGCAAGAUAAUCAUCAUCAUCAUCUUCAUCAUGUAAAUUGCUUAUAUUUCUUGGUAGUUCCGACUCAUGAUGAGAUGCAUUAUGUCCACAUGACGUAACAGAAUUUGCAGCAUGAAACAUAGAACCACCAGCAACAUCCUUUUCUACGUACAAUUCUAGAACUGACAUUUGUUGUUGUUGAAAACUUUCGAUCAUAGUUUCAACAUCUUCGUCAUCAGAAAUUUACAAUGCAACAUAUUUUCCUGAAACUAAAAAUCUACAACUUAUAGUAGAAAUAAUUUCAUUAUUUUCUAACUUUACCUUAUCUCCAAUUUUUUUUUCAAAGCAUUGAAACUAAUUCCGUGUUUAAUCUGAAUCGCCUUUUUACUGUCUUCAAAUAUUACACCAUCAUUGUCUUCAUAUACUCUUCCGUUGAAAUACAACACUGUAAUAAUUGAAUUCAUGAUAUACCUACAUGAACAAAAUUAAAAAUAAUUAAUCAUAACAACAGUAGUUUUAAAAUAAAUAAGUGUAUUUGCUUGCUUCAUCUACUAACUUAAACUUAAACUUAAAAUUAAACUUAAACUUAAACUACAGAUUAAAAUUUCAUUCUAACUUCAAAAAACUAGAAGGGAAUCAGGUAAUUAUUUGUAAGGCCUGUCCACCCAUGAACAAAGGCUUAUAAAUAAUUAAACAUUAUUAAAAUAACUUCAAAGUAAAAAACCUAAUUACAAAAAUUAAUAAGCUUAAACUUCAUGUUAAAAUUUGUUUCUAAAUAAAACAAUUAUUACUUCAAUUAAAUAUUUUGUGAAUGAUAAAAAUAAAAAAAAAUCUAUUUGCUUCCUCUAUUAAACUUAAACUAGACAUUAAUACGUCAUUCUAACAAAAGAAUUAUUACUCCAAUUAAAUAAUUCAAAAAAAAUUCCUUAACUUCAAAAACUUGAAGAGUCACCUCUAAAUAUUUUUAACUCACAAAUAGCAUCAACAAAAGUUUAUAAGCGGAAGGGUCACGCGUCAAAUUUCUAAGCCACAAAAACCAUGAACAAAGAGGAUUACAAAUAAUUACUCAUAAUAAUUUUAAAAUAAAAAUUCUAAUUCAAAAAAUUAAUACACUUAAACUUUACCUUCAAAUUUUAGUCUAACAAAAAAAAUUAUUACUUCAAUUAAAUAUUUUGUCAAUGAUACAAAUAAAAAUAUUUAUUUGCUUGCUCUAUUAAACUUAAACUACACAUUCAUACUUUAUUCUAAAAAAAAUUACUCUAAUUAAAUAAUUUAUGAAAAAUUCCUCAACUUCAAAAAAAUUUCAGACACAAAAUGGAAGGGUUACACUUAAAAAAAUUUCAGACACAAAAACCAUAAAAAAAGGCUUACAAAUAAUUACUGCUAAUAAUUUUUAAAUAAAAAAUCUAAUUCACAAAAUUAAUACACUUAAAUUUGAGCUUCAAAUUUGAUUCUAACCACAAAAUUUAUUACUUCAAAAUAAAAAAAUUUGUACAUGAUAAAUAAACAAAAUGAAAGAAGGCUUUCUUUAAAUAAAUACAAAAUAUCCUUACUUUAAAUAAAUAGAAGAUAGAAUCAGCAAACUUCAAGCAAAACGAAACGCCUUUCUUUCUCUCUUCACACUACUUUGUUACUCUCUUCAGUGUCAAAUUUUGCAAGUGCUCUAUUUAAAGAAAAUUUACACCAAAGCUGAAGCAUGCAUGUGAUCUGCAACGUAAAUUUACACGCCAUUAAAGCAUGCAUGUGAUCCUAAAACUGUAUGCAUGUGACCCUGCUGCAUGCCUAGCCUGAAAAUCAGCAAUGCCCUAACCUGAUGCCCUAGCCUGUAACCUGCAAUGCAAGAACAGUGCCCUAGCUAGUAGUCUGAUGGGACUUGCAAAUUCACGUCCACGUUGGUCACGCAUGAGCCAAUGGCGGGACUGUCCACAUUGGCACAUGUCCCGCCAUUGGUAUUGGCGGGAUGAGCUGUCUCGUUGGUCUCACAGGAGCCAAUGGCGGGACUGUCCAUGUUGGCACAUGUCCUGCCAUUGGUAUUGGCGGCAUGGUGUGUAUCGCUGUUGGUGCUGGCGGCACCCAGCCACGUCAGCACCAUUCUCGUCAUUGCUAAUGGCGGUAUUAGUGGUAUCGCAAUUGCAGGUGGCGGCUUCCAUGCAAAAACCGACCCCCUCCGUAAAUACUUACAAAAGAGACUCCUUUACGUAAAUAGUUUAUAAAUGUGACCCACUGAGGUAAAUUUGCCUAUUUAAGCCAUAAUAGUCUGCCGUUAUAUAUACUGUAACUCAACAGAGGAUAAAAACUCUGAUCAAAUUAAUUAAAUAACUCAAUAAAAAAAAUUAAUUGAAUAAAUCAUUUAUUUUUUUCAUUUGCCGACCAUUUUUCUUUUGGUACAUUUUGUUAUUUUUAUCACAUUUUUUCCAUUUUUUUCAUUUUCUUAAUUUUUUCCUUCACUCUUAUUAAGUUUAUAGAUUAGGGCUAGCCAGACUCGGUGGAGGGUUAAUGUGCUAAUGAAAUGUGUAAAAACUAACAAGCUAUUUUAUGAAUGGAGCUUACUAAUAACAGUAGCAAAUAGCAUGUUAGGAUUGUCGGUUUGAAUAGUAUUCCAUGAAUGAAUGAGUGGCUAUUAUUAUGAGAGGAUAGCUUUUGGGAUAUUUUCCAUGGCUUGAUUAGAAAGGGUUUUGUUUGUACGCACUGUGUGUCACACGUUUCUAUACGAUGGCCUGGGAUUUUUUUAUUUGUGGCUGUCAACCAUAGUCUUCCCUAGAGUUUGGGUAAAAAUUAAUCCUGCAUUUGCAAGUUCUAAGAAUUGUGGCAGGGUGAGACUGAGCAGAAUAAGGACCUUUAACACUGAUUUGCACUCCCUGAAGACCAAGCUCAUUCAGCCAGGCAAUGAAAAAGGGUCAAAGCUUCAGCCUUUAAUGGAAGAAUAUUUCCAUCAGAACAAAACGUUUUGGCCCUGAAAAACACACCUCUAUUGCAUGCGGGGGUGUAAAAAUUCCUAUUCUCAUUAUAACCCAACAUAAAUUGAAUAGAUUUUUUUUUGAAAUAAUUCAAGAAAAAAGAAAUGCUUUGAUUUAUAAAACAAAUUCAAUUAACAAAAUUAUUUGUACAAAACGAAAUUGGUUAACUAAACUAGUUUUCAUUUGAAUAUUUUAUUUGAAAAAAGAAAAUUUGAAAAUCAGUUUAAAGUUAAUCUGAUCCUUAUAAUUAGUUUAAAAUUAAUUAAAAAUCAGUUUAGAAUUAAUUUUUUUAGAACUAAUUCGAUUCUGAACUAAUUUUUAAAUUAAUUUAAUUAUUUAAAUAUAAAAUUAAACUAAAAUAAUUUAAAAUUAAUUCAAUUUGAGUUUUUUUUUAUCAAACUAGUUAUUGCAUACGGGUGAAGUCUCAUCCCUUAUGCAGAUUUCCACUCCAAACUCACCUUUGGGACCAAAAACAGCACUCUGUUAGGCGCUUUUCCCAUUCGGCAGGUUGCAACUGCUUAUUAGAAGAUAAUUAAGAAUAAUCAAUAGAAUAAGAACAUGAAGAACGAGGGUUUUCCACUCUCUAAAGCCAUUUUUAGCUCUCUGCACAACUGCAAAAGGGGUCUGAACCUUGCCUUCCCAAAUCAUAACAACCUCAAUUAUUUUCUUUUCAUAUUCUAAUUAAGUUCAAUUAAAUCUUUUUUUCACAUUUACUUACCAUAAAUAUAUUUCUGAUAUUGCUCCACCUACUUCCUUUAUAUAUAUAUAUAUAUAUAUAUAUAUAUAUAUAUAUAUAUAUAUAUAUGGAGAUAAAGAUACAUCAGAUAAUCAUAUCAUAUAUCAUGUUAAUGCUUUCUAAUUUGUAUAAAUAAUAUUAUUUUUGAAAUAUUUAUUUUAUAGUAUAAUUUUAAGAAGUAUUUUUACACUUUUAUUCAAAUAAUUUAAUAAACUAUUUAUUUUGUUUCAAUACUUUUAACAAUUUCAAAUUAUAUCACAUACAAACAUUAAUUUACAAAUAAUUUAUACAAUGAAUAUAUGUUAUUUUAAACAUGUUUUUAUGUGUAAUUCCAACAAACAUUUUACAUUGAAUUACUUUCAUAAUUUAAUGUAAUAUUUUUAAAAAUAUUUAGAUAUAUAUCUCAAAACUAUAUCAUUUAAAUUAUUUAUAGACUUAAAUAUGUUUUUAUUCCUAAUAAAUACUUCAUAUGUAUGUUUGUUUCCCAGUAAAACAACAAUUUUAUUUUUUUGCCUUUCAUAUUUUAUUUGUCCUAGUUGAAUUAAUAAAUUUUGUGUUUAUUGUUUGAAAAUAAAAAAAUUUAUUCCCAACUAUUAACAAAUGAAAUUUUUUAUUAAGGAAAAAAAUUAAAAAUUUAACUAAUUGAUAAUAGACUAACAAAAAGUAUCAAGGAUAAAAAAUAAAAUUAUUUUAUUAAGAAUCCAAUAUAAAGAAAAAUUUAUCUAAAAACAAACAUAAAUUUUUUAUAUUUAUUAAGAAUCAAAAUAUAUUCUAAGUCUUAUUAAUUUAUAAACCCACACAACAGACCAAUAGUUAAUUUUUAAUAAUUCUGACAAAAAAAUGAAAAAAUGGCAGCAACUGAUAUUCACAUAAAGCUAGCACAUCAACAUGAAAAUUUUGCCGGUCCCUUUUGUUAUACACAUUCCAAGCUCUAAGCAGAAGAACUGGGUAUUUUGUACUGUUUCGCAUAAUAUUCUUAAUAGAGUUUUGGAAUCAGUUUCUAGUUUGCUUUUGCCACCUUGCAUUUCCAUGUCACUAGCAAAUUUUAAGUGUUCGAUCAACUCUCGGGUCUGCAAAAUAAUACUGAUUAUUUUACAUGCUUUCUGAGACAUGAUUAUUGCAAGAAGAUAAAGAAGAUAUUUUCUAUCAUUAAUAAAUUAUAGGUGGUCCCACCAAGUUCGGAUAAAGAAGAAAGAUUGUAUUAAGUCAUCAGCAGUAAAAAAAAUUAAAAUAUUAAGAAAAAAAUAAUUUUUUUUAUUACAAAACAAAUAUAAAUCUCUGAUAUACAUGAAGAAAAACCAACAUAGUUAGUCUAAUUAAAUUCAAGAUAUCUAACAUCUUACACAUAUUUAAUUUAAUGAAGACUUUAGUGUGUUUAGUCAAUUUUGGUGACUGACUUAUCAUUAAAGAAAUUUAAGAAGCCUAACAUCAUAUAUAUAUAUAGAGAGAGAGUUUAAUGAUAGUACGCCAAUACAUAAUAAUAAUAAUUUAAAAUGUAUGUGUAAAAAGAACAACUUAAAUAGCUCAGCAGAGCAUAAUAAACUCUGAUCAAACUAAUUAAUAACUCAAAUGUACACCAUUAAGUUUAUAUAUUGAGGCCGGCCAGAUUCAGUGCAGGGUUAAUGAAGUGAUGAAAUAAGUAAUAAGCUAUUUUUAUGAACGAUCUUUGCUAGCAAAUACAGUAGCACAUGUUAGGAAUAUCAGUGUGAGCUUUAUUCCAUGAAUGAAUCAGUGGCUAUAAUUCUACUAAGGGUAGCUUUUGGAAUAUUUUCCAUGACUUUUUUUAAUCACUGUGUGUCACGCGUUUGAGUACGAUUGCUUUAAUUUGGGUUGGUGAACAUCUUUUUCUUUGCUGGCCAGUCAACCGUUACCAUAGUCUUCCCUACAAUACUGAUAUUAACAACAGCUGUAUUUUGCUCACUGUCUUGGCACUUGGGAUAUUUUCGGAAAAUAAUGAACCUACUAUAUUUUAGAAUUUAUUUAGGAGAAAGGUUCCUCCAAAACAAACAUGAGUUCUUUAUCUAAUCAUUGUUGGGAUUUUCUAUUUCAAUAAUAAUUAAUAUGAGUUAAUAUUAUAAGAUAAUUCUAUUAAUUAUUUAUUGUUAUUGGAUUUUAUGUUAUGUGAUCAAAUUAAGUAAUCUCGUUAGACAACCAAAUUCGAUAAUAUGGAUUUAAAGGAGCAUAUGUCAGUGUUGGUCCAUUAAGAGAUAAUGAGAACCUUAUUAGAUUAAUACAUUACAAAUCGUCCCCCCAAUACACUAAAUCACCGACACAUAGAUAGUUUCUCUUCUUGAGGGAAUUGAAUAAUACUUUGCCAAAAACGAAAAGGCGGAAACGAGUAACCUUUUGGCUAAACUCAUCUCCAUGAAGUAUAAGGGCAAAAGUUAUAUAAAAAAGUUUUUGCUCAUAUAAUUUUUGUUUUUGUUUAUUAUUAUUAUUAUUAUUAUUAUUAUUAUUAUUAUUAUUAUUAUUAUUGUUGUUGUUGUUGUCGUUGUUGUUGUUUUUUUGUUAAAAAAGGGGAAAACAAAAGGUGCCCUUAGCAAAAGAAACAAAACAAAGAUGCAAUAUUUACUUGGGGUAUUUUAAGUGUAAAUCAAUGAUAGCAUUAAAUAUAAUUUAAGGAUAUGAUAUUUACUUGUCGUAAUUAAUGUUUUAUAUUUUUUUAGUAUCAUGAUGGAAGUUAAUUUAACAUAUCCUUUCCAUUUAUUUGCAUAUCUAGUGAUUUUUUUAAUUAAAUUGAUUGUUACGAUAUAUUGUCAAGGUAAUCCCUAUUGUGAAAAUUAAUUUGAUUAAAAUUACAAAUUUUUGUAUAAAAUCAUUUAUGUGAAUUAUGUUCAGACCAAAGGAAUACACAAUUUGACCAAAUAAUAUUUUAUAUUUGUGAUGAUAAAUGUGUGACAAUUAUAAGGUAUUUUCAUGUGAAUAAUAGUCGGUCCAAAGAAAGACUAUUAUUUGACAGAUUUAUUGUUAAUAUUUGAUCGUUGCAUUAAGAGUACCAAUUACAAAUUAAUUUAUCUAGAAAUUAAUGUUGUGUUAGGUAUCUUGUAAUGGGUGUGUUCCGUAAAAUAUUUACAUGUUUUAUUAUAUAUUUUUUAUAUAACUAAAUUAUAUGUGAAAGUUGUGUAAUUUUAAUACCUCUCAUUUAUUAUAUUAAAUUGUCUUGUAUUUUUUGGUUUAAUUGAUUGAAACAACAUGUUGUCAAAGUAACCUUUGUUGCAUAAGCUGAUUUGAUUGAAUUUACAUGGAUGUUGCAUGAAAUUAUUCAUGCGAAUUGUGCUCGGCCCAAAGGAAAACACAAUUUGGUAGAAUAAUUAUUGCUUGCGAUGGUAAACAUGUGGUGAUUAUAAAUAGUGUGAUUUUCCAUGUGAAUAAUGAAAUGUUCAAAGGCAAUCAUUAUUUGACCGGGGUAAUUAUCAUAUAAGUUUUUCAUGUGAGCAAUGAAGUGUCCAACGACAACUUUUGUUUGACAGGACUUAUCACCAAUGUUUGAUCAAUGCGUUGAGAGUAUCACUUGCAAUUAAUCUUUUUCGAUCCAAAGAUUGAGGAUUAAUGCGCUAGGUAUCAUGUUUGGCUCUUGAAAUUUACCAUAAAUAUUAUUUUUGUAUUGUAUGUGUAUAUUCUCUUCUUUAAUUAUUGUUGCUACUACUAUGAUUUAAAUUACUCACAUUAUUUAAAUCUCAAAUAUGCAUGUAUAAAAUAAUUUGUAUGGGGGUCCUAAGGUGAUAUAUGAUUAAUCUUGGUAUGCAACACUAGAAAAUAGUAAAACACAUUAUGCGUUAAUUGAAGAGAACAAGAAAUUACAUGUUUUCAUAUCAAAAGUCUAGAAGUUUAGAGAUCAUUGAGUAUUAUGACUUUGAUUUUUUCGAAAUGUCUUAAUAGUAAUCACUCCACAUAAGGAUCCACAUUUAAUCGUGUUGGUGGAGUUAAUAUUUAGCUAUGAGACAUCAUACUAGAAUUUAUAACUGCUAAAUUAUUGUAACUCGCUUGCUUGUUGUUGCCAACAUUAAUUAGCCAUCAGAUGUUUAUUGCAACAAUAUCUUAAUGAUAUCAUUAAAGAUUCAACUAAGUCAAAGUUUGUUGACAUAAAAUAUUUGGUUCUUAAAUAAAGAAUUCAAAAAAUAAAGAUUUGUAUAGAACAUAUAGGAACUCAUUUCAUUCUAGCUGAUUUACUUACUAAAGGUAUGACACUUAAAGUUUUUCAUGAGCACAUUGUUCAUAUGGGUGUAAUUCCUGAUAGUACCUUAGUUUAGUGGGAGUCUUACUUAUGUUAUAUAUCUUACAGUUUACAAGCAUGUUGUGUUUGGAUUGAUCUAUAUAAAGAAUAAAGUUUGGAUCAGUUGGAAAUAGACAUGACUAAGAUCACAUUACAUGUAAUUUCCAUGUUAUUUAUCCAUAUUGACCUAUGUCAUUGAAUGUAUUGAUGUGAUGGUCAUUGGGGUCUAGUUACAUUUGUUGUAGUGACAAAAGCCGUGAUGAUUCCAUUAUUGAUACAUGAGAUGAACCAGAUUGUUAAGGUGAAAGUUUAAAAAUAAAUAGCAUACAUAUGCACGCUUAAGGAUUCUUUAUAUAAUUUGUACAAUAUAUAUGUAGCCCAAGUGGGAGAUUGUUGAAAUUUUCUAUUUUAAUAAUUAAUGUGGGUUAAUAUUAUAAGACAAUUACAUUAGUUAUUUAUCAUUAGUGGGUUUUAUUUUAUGUGAUCAAAUCAAGUGAGUCCCUUAGACAACCAAAUAAGAUGAUAUGAACUUAAAUGAACUUAGAAGAUAAUGAGAACCCUAUUAGGUUAACACAUUAUAAGAAGGCUAUGGUCCCCAAUAUACCGAGCCGCUGACACAUAUGGUUUCUCUUUUCCCCACCUGAAGAGUUAUGAAGGUCUUAUUAAAGAAUAAAAAGGUUCCGGUUGAAGAAGAACCAUGAAGCCACCGGUUACAUUGUUAGCAUUCUGUAACAGGUCCUAUGAAGAGCACAUAGAUAAGAAAUCACAUAAAGAUUCAAUUUCCCUUGUGUUUUUUUCAUCAAUCAUGAUGGACCCAAGUAUUCCUAAAACUCUUCCUGAUAAUAUAAGGUAAUGUGUUCCUGAUAUUUAUAUUUUAUUGGUAUUUUAUAAGGAUCCCUGAAAAUUUACAACUAUCACUACCAAAACCAAAACCAGUAUAUCCAAUCUUAAUAUAACUUAGGUUAUCUUAGGAUUGGAGUUGGUAAAUAUUUUUCUCAAUUUUAAUACAAUAAAAAAAUUUAAUACACCAAAUGAAAUAAGAAAAAAUGUUACUUAUAGAAUAAAAAUACUUUUGACCUCUCACAACUUUAACCAACUAUCACUACCAAAACCAAAACCAGUAUAUCCAAUCUUAAUAUAACUUAGGUUAUCUUAGGAUUGGAGUUGGUAAAUAUUUUUCUCAAUUUUAAUACACAAUAAAAAAAUUUAAUACACCAAAUGAAAUAAGAAAAAAUGUUACUUAUAGGAUAAAAAUACUUUUGACCUCUCACAACUUUAACCAAACAUGCAUUUAAAUAUACCAUAACGAUUUUAUCUUACUAGAUGAUUUACAUACAUUUUAGUUACUUUGCUCAUUUAAGUGUAAUAUAUAUAUAUAGAAAUAAAACUGCUUUAUUAGGAAGUUAGGGAAUAAAUUGCACAUUCAGUUCCCAACUUGCUUGUCAUCUUGCAUUUUCAUGCCACCGGCAGAUUUGAAUUCUUCAUUCAACAUUUUCUAUCAUUAAUAAAUUAUAGCCCGUCCCAUAAGGCUCAAUUAAAGUCAAUUAUAAAACCAAUUAUAUGUGGGAAAUGAAAAAGACAAAAUAAUUGGAAAAUAUGUCUUAUUAAAAAAAUUAAAGAAUAGAUGUAGGUUAAAUAGAAGAAAAAUAAUGUUUUGAUUAAAGUUUUGUUGAGAGUCUCAUUUGUUUAAUUAGAAGAAAAAAUAACAUAACAUGCAUAACAUACCAUAAAAUUUUUUGAUGUACCUAUUGAUAUUCACACAAUUAAUAAAAAAUGACUAUUGAUUCAAAUGACAUUUUUAUGUCCACUCAUUACUAUUGAUCUUAAUGUUUUUUAGAUUUUGGCUUCAUUCAUUUUUUUUCUCACCAAUUUUUUUUUUGGCAUCUACCCAAUCUUUUCAUUUCACCAUCACAUCCAUUAACAUAUAUCAUAUCAUGUGUUAUUUUUCAUAUUCUAAUUAAGACUCAUUAAAGCCUAUUAUUUUUUUCUUAAACAAAAAAUAUAUAUUGUAAAUUUAAGAUAUAAAAUAAAAGUAAAAUUAUUAUUAAGAUAUAGUAUUUAUAGUAUAGUAGUAAAAGUACAAAUAUAAUAACAAAAAGAUGAUACAAGAUAAAAUAUCAACAAAAUGACAAAGGAACAAAAAAUGUUUAAACUUUUACAUAUUAAAACUAGACAGUUUAUUAUUUUCUUUACAAUUAAAUCAAAAGUUGUUAAAGCAAUAUAAUAAAUUAUUGGAUGGAAAAAAUUUAUUAUAUUAUUUGUAAUAAACUUGUUAGUAAAAAUACAUAUGUAAAUGGCGUUGUAAAAUACUUAAGAUGUCUGAUUACAUAUUAAUAAAAUUAUUAGAAAGAUUAUUUUGCAUUUACUUUAAACUCCAAUGAAAAAAAAAAGUAAAUUGCACUUGCAUUACCUAUAUUUUACUCCAAUUUUACCUAAUACUCCAAUUUUUAGUUUUUUUGGCAUCACUUUGACUCCCUUUAAUAAAAUGGUGUUAAUUAAUGGUUAUAAUUUUAUGUUGAAUGAUGAAAUUACCAUUUUCUUUUUUUCUACAUUAACACAACCUCACAAUAUUCUUGUGCCUAAUCCUCCUUGACGUCUCAACUUCAACAUCAAAUUCAUCAUCUUCCUCAAAAACCAACACUUUUAUCUACAUUUGUAGGUGCUUUACCUCCACCAGCUCACUAUUGCUAUGUACCACCUUGUACACCUUCCUAGAUGCUCCACUUCCUUGUACACCAGCUCAAUGAUCUUGUUCUUUCAUCGUACUCUUUGCACAUACAUGAGUGAUAUCCCUACAAAUGUCCUAUGAAAUUUGUCCUAAAAAUCUGUCUAAUAUACAAAUUAUGAACAAUUAUGCUGGAUAUCUUACAUAAAGAUAGACAAAUAAUUAGGGAUAUACAUGAUUAUGUACAAAUAAUCUCAUUACUCCCUUCAAGUUGGAGUAUGCAAAUCGCAAAUGUCCAUAUUGUGCAAUAAGUAAAUCGAGUACUUAGUUGGACCAAGUGCUUUGGUGAGUAUAUAAAUCAAGUCUGAGGUCUUAAGAAGGGAUAGAAGUAGGUUAGAUCCUAUGGCAACUUGGUCAGGCUCAUUUAGCAAAAAAAAUCAAACUGAGUUUUUUUUAAAAAACUUGUUUAGUUAAAAAGGCCAGACAUGGUCUUAAGAAAAACUUAUGAGAUUUGAUGGCUUAAUCCAUUUAGCAAUAAUAUAUUUUUAAAUAAAAAUAUUAUUAUUAAUAUGAUAUAUAAUAUUAUAAUCUAAAAUAAAAUUAGAAAUCCUAUUUCCUUAAGUUUUCUCUACGCAAGUAUGAAGUAAUGCAACUAGUGUUCUUAUAAAACAAAAUAAUCUAAAAACAUGUGAUUAGAAUAAAUCGGAAGAGUGAAUAACAUGGUGGCAAAAGUCAAAUUUGAUAUGGCUGAGGUGAUUAUGCACAAAAGAUACCUUAAAAUUAUAUUGACAUUUAAAUUGGUUUAAGGAUCAGUGUACUUAUAUAAUGUCAGGGCCAAACAUAAAAAAUAAGACGGUCACGUAUAAUAGGUUUAUGCUUGGGCUAUAAAGUUAUAAAGUGGGUUAGACUAUGCUUAGGUAAAGUUUGACUCUGUCUAAACCAUUUUCACAUCUAGACAUAAGUAGGUCCAAUGUUGUCAUUUUGAAUUUCAUCAUGAAUAAAAUGACAGUCAACUUCGAUAUGUUUGGUAAGUUCAUGAAAAACUAAGGGAGUGUUUGGUUUGUCUGUUUUUUGUUUUCAUUUUCACUGAAAACAGAAAAUAGUGAUGAAAAUGUGUUUGGUUGGAUUUUUGAAAACAUUUUCAGUGAAAAUAAAAACAGAAAACAACCAGAAAAUGAAAACAAUAAAAUUUCAUUUUCAAUGUUUUCAGUUGAAAACAGGAACUUCAUUUUGGGUAAAAUGAAAAUGAGAUGACAAUGAAUGUAAUUUAAGCAAAUUUAAAAAUACAAAAAAGACAAGAAAUCAAUAUAUCAUAAAUUUUCAGUGUUUUUAUUUCCUAAAAACAAAAAACAAGAAGUCAAACCAAACAUAUUUUCAGAAUUCUAAUCUUUUGAAAAUAAAAACAGUUUUCAGAAAAUGAAAACAGGAAAUGAAAAACAGAAAAUGAAAAUGCAAUCCAAACACACCCUAACUUUUUGGUGGUGAUCACAAUGAAGAUGGAUAGGUUGAGAACGUGAGAUACUAAGGUUGAAAAGAAUUUUCUUUAACCAUUUUUACUCGUAAAUAAUCGUUAGCAUGAAAUGGUAUUCAACUUUAGUGGAUGAGCAUGAAAUCAUGGGUUGCUUUUUUAGUUUUCCACGAAAUGGAAAAGUUUCCCAAAUGAAUAAAGCAUCAUGUGAGAUGUACCGUCCUUCGAUAUAAUAACAACCCGUAAUAAAAAUAUACUCUAAAAUGCCUAUAAGAUAUGGAUUUAGAAAUUUCAUUGGUUCAAAAUACUUCAAAUAUUAUAAUAAAUGAGUCCUUACAUAAUUAAACAAUUGUAUCCUCAAAUAUGGGUAUCUACAAAGUUGAACUAACAAUAAACUAAGUAUUCAAUUCUCCUUCGUCUGAAAAGUUUCUUCAUUGAACUCUGAAAACAACACUUUUAAUGAGAUAAUAAUCCUAUUGAAUAAAACAAUUUCUAAAAGAUUUCGCAAAUAAUGUUCUCAAUCGACGCAAUAACCUAAAAAUCCAAUCAUUGUAUCCGCAAAAUUAAAUUUAAAAUAAUAUAUACAUACUUAUAAACAAUCACAAAUUAUUCACACAAUGAAAUAACACUCCGGUCAAUAAACAUCAACAGUUCACUACAUUCAAUUCUUGAACAAACUAACAAAUAUCACAACACAACAUAGUGAUUCCCAGAAUCAUUAGCCUCAACUAUUUGGUUCCUGAACCAGUGUGGAUCUCAGACUCUUCAAAUGAUCUAUGAGCUCAUAUUCAUGCAAUAAUGUCUCACUACACCAUCCCUAUCAUAGAUGAAGGUGUCAAGAAUCUUUUUCUCAUCCCAUAUGAAGGUAUCUAUAAUCUCAUCUAUAACAUUCCAUUUUUCGUAAAUAAAUUUAAUUUUUUAUUAUUUAAAAAUAAAUAAAAUUGAAAAAAAAUGAUGAGAUUUUUAUAAUUAAAUAAAUAAGGAGAAAUAACUUUAUUAAUUAAAAUAAUGGUUUGAAAGAAAAUAAAAAAAAGAUAUUUGAUUUAUUCAUUUGAUAAAAAAUAAAUUACAGUAUUUCUUUAUAAAAUAAUAAAUAAAGAAAAUAGAGUAAAUAAUAGGUUGAGAGUAUCCUAACUAUAAAUAGAGACAUGUUAUGUCAGUUUUCAGACAAACGAUAGUCUUUACGGUUUCUCUUCCUCUCAAUUUCGUUUUCCCUUUUCCUCCUCUCAAAACUCUCUUUCUUUUUCCCACAUACACUUAAACCUGUCCUAGUAAAAUGACGAUCUCAAACUUGUUAACCGUUGGAUCAUCAAGAAAUUUGAGCAUCAGGUUUGGAACUCAUCUCUGAACAUUCUCACCAUUAGAAUUUGCGAAACAAUGUCAUCAGAGGUGAUAAAGAUUCCCUUUUAUUGUAGCUUUCUCUUUUCCCGUAGAGACCCAAAACCUAUCCUAGUAAAACUACAAUCCCGUAUUCGUUAAUCGUUGGAUCAUUGUAAAAUUUGGACACCAGCUUUGGAAUUCAUUUUCGCAAAUCACCAUUGGGAUGUGCGGAAUAAUGUUUUUGCAGAGAGAAAUUAGUGUCGCACGUUGACAGUAAAAUGGAGGUUAUAAUAUCUUCUCAUUAUCUCUAAUGCUUGGAAACCCUAACAGAGCAAAAAGAGGAAAAACUUGAGGAAUCUUAAGGAAUUGCCAGAGACACCGCUAUCAUUACUGGACUACAUACAUGAGCCCGCUUAGAGGUAAAGGUUGAGUUUAUCGCCAUUGAGAUUAGAAUAAAUAUGUGUAGGAAUUCUUAGGAGAUCAAAUUGGGGUUUAUUUUAGGAUGUUUAUUGUAUUGUAAUUCUUUCUGUAUGAUUAUGUGAACUAUUUGAGGGAUUUUACUCCCUGUGUUGUGAGAAACAUUUUUGUAUGAUUUGUUUGUGUUUUGGAUAAGAUUAGCAUGAUAAAUAGUUACACUAGGAUCAUUAAAUUGUGAUUGAAAUUUUGUAUAAGUGAUAAAUUGAAUAUGUGAUGAAUUGUGAGAUAACACAUUGCUUUGAGAUUAUAACAUUGUUAUUGAGAUUGAGUAUAAGUGCAAAGUUGAAUGUGUUAAUUUGUGAGAUACACGUAAACAUGUGAUGAUGGAUUGUGACAUUAUGAGACGUUAAAUUGUGGACAUGAGAUUUGAUUGUGAAUAAGUAUAUGGUUAACACUUGAUAAGGCAAUACUUGUACUGUGAGCUGUGAAUUAUACAAUAACCUGACCAGUGUUUACCUUGAGAAAAGUGUUUAUGCACAGUGUUAAAGGGAAAAUGUAGGAUUCAUAUUUAGGAACCAAUGUUAAAUUAUAGCACAAUAUGUUGAAUGUGUUUGAAACACGAGUGUGGGGUCGUGGGUAUUAUAUAAUUCAUGAGUAGUAUCUACGUGCAAAAAUGGUUUUAGGGGUGGGACUUGAAUUAGGAAGGUGAGACCCUAACCAAUUCUUCGGAGUCUAGGCCUUGGGGGUAAAGGCACUCGGUUUGAAUGCUCCUUUAAGCCUAUGUUGAUUUCAUAUGGUUGGAGCAUUCAUGUAAAACAGAGUGAACCUGAUUGGUUACCUUAUGAUUUUACUUAGUGAGAGUGACCUGACAUACCCAUUGUAUGGUGUGUCUUGUUAUGUACUUCUAAGUGUCUCAGGUGAUUUUUUACUGACAUGAUACCACAUUACAUAUAGGCUUGAGUUUUAGUAUAAUUGUUGCAUAACACUUGCUAAUUGUUUAUCAUGAAAUUGAAGAGUGUUAUUACAUCUUGACUUGAAUGUGUGAUUCAUAUAUAAUGUGAUAGGUGAUUGAAGAAUGAAAUUUUAAAUGAUCAAGUGGUGAAGUGAUGUGAGUUGUAUUAAGUUGAACUAUGUUAUAAAUAUUUUUAUAAUAUAUUUGGAUUAUGUCUUUAUUUAUUUGUAUUUUUUUAAAUGUGAUAACUUACUCACUGUGUGCUAUUUGUGUUUAGAUCCUGUGAUGAUCUCAAACUUUGGGUUCGUGGGAGCAGAUGACUAGGUGGAUGACUUUAAAUAACAGUGCUAGAGGACGCUGGAACGCAAUGCUCUGAUAGGAUGUGACAUUGGGAAUGAGUUUUUAUUUUAAUUGCAUGAUGCUAUUUUAUUUUAUUUUAUCUCACUUAUUUAACACAAUUUCUUUUGUAAACUUUGACAGUCUUGCUCCGAGCUGAAUAUGUAUUUGUAUAAGUUUUAUUUGACUAUUAAAGCGAAUGUGAGCCUUUUACCCUUUUGAAAUACUUUUAUUUAAAUGUUUUUGAAAACUAUUAAUUAGUUAUGCUUUUUUAUUCCUUUUAUUAUUAGUAUAUAUAUGUGUAAGAUAGAGGGUGUCACAUCAUUGUCAUUCCAGAUGGAGGUAUCUCAUAUCUCUUCUCCAUCUCAAGUAAAAGUAUCUCAUGCAUAUUCAAUUAUCAAAAUAAGAUAUAUACUUUCAGUUUUAGAGUUUAAAAUCUUUGUGCAAAUAAAUGUAAAAGAUUUUUUUACUAUGGUAGGAAAAUCCAGCAUUUACAGUUGGCUUACAUUUAUCUUAUUUUAAGGAGACAAGCUGUUGGAGUUUUCUGCAAGUGAUUUUUUGUCUUUUAAUUGUUGUUUUAUUGCUUGAUAACUAUGGAUAUGAUUAUUAGUUAUAAAUAGAAAUAAAAUAUAAUUUGUAGAUAUGUUGUGUGGUAAAAAUUUAUUUUAAUCUUUGUAUGACAAACCUUGAAUACGGUUUGAAAUUCUAAAUAUAAAGUUGGGUUUAUAAAAAGUAAGUAAAUAGAUAUUAUAAACUUCAGUUUUUAAGUAUCUUGCUAAAUAAGAUUCACGUUAGACCCCUUUCUGUGUUAACAUAUUACAGACUAUGUAUUUGAUUAAAAAUUAUGAAAUCAAGGCAAUAGAUAUGUUUAACGUACUCAAGCAUUCUGAUGUUGUACUAACAAACAUUGUUUUAUUGUUUUUAUUCUCUAAUCAAAUUCCUGGUUGCAGCAAUUUAUUUCCUUUUUCUAUGUGGUUUCUUUGGUAAGGUUGUGGCAAGAAAUUUAUUGCCGGAACUUGAUACAACUUUAUCAGUUAACUGUGUUCUGCCGCUGCCUUUUCUGUUUUCAUGCAAAUAAAUCAUAAACAAAGAGAAGAUUGAAUUAUUUGGUUAAAAUUAUGUUGAAAUUUGAAAACGUCUCACUCUCACCAGAACCGUUUUAUCUAUGACUUGAUGGUUUGCUUUUCUUAAUUCUUAUUUAUGCAAUAUGGGCAGUUUAAAAGCCAUUUCCAUGAAGUUCGAGUUCUCCCUUACUGCAUAUCAAUUGCCUGUGAUAACUAUGAAGUAUGAAUAGUGUCAUCAAAUUUUGCCCGAAUGUAGAUAUGGGGCAGACAUUGCACGAGGGAUUGUUGAGUUACAUGCUGCAGGCAUUGUUUGCAUGAAUAUAAAAACAUCCAAUCUUCUUCUUGAUUCAACUGGCCUUGCUGUGAUUUCUGAUUACUGCUAUUCUGAAGAAGCAUUCCUGUUGGAAGGGCCAACCUGAGCAUGACUCCUCAAACACAUUAUACAGCUCCAGAGGCUUGGGGGCAACUUCUGAAGAAAUCAUUAAAUUUGUUCUGGGAUGAUGCAAUAGGUAUAUCAGCAGAGUCUGAUGCCUGGAGUUUUGGUUGUACACUGGUGGAGAUGGGCACGGGUUUUGUUCCGUACAUGGAUCAACUCAUCAUUCAAUUUUUCUUUUUCUUUGCAUUCUGGUUUUCUAGAGUUGCAUAUCGCAAAUUCUAUGCUUGUGUAGUUGGGCUGGUUUAAGUUCGGAGGAAAUUUAUCAAGCAGUUGUCAAGGCAAAGAAACUGCUUCCACACUAUGCCAGUGUGGUUGGUGGUGGAAUACCUAGUGAUUUGUGGAGGUUGAUUGGAGAGUGCUUGCAGUUCAAGCCAUCUAAAAGGCCUAGUUUAACUGCAAUGUUGGCAAUAUUUCUCCGUCAUUCGCAGGGAAUGCCGCGCAGCCUUCCUGCAAGCCCAAAUAAGUAAGCCCAUUAUAAUUAUCCAUGACUUGUAUCUUCUAUGCUGUUUUUAUGGCAUCUGAUUGAGCAGUCAAAAUGUAGCCUAUUUAUAGUUUUAGAUGUGUGGUGUGGAAAUGAGCCAAAUUUGCAGUUGUCGUAGAUGCCAAACAAUUGACUUGUACAUGUUUUAUAUUUUUGUAAAUACAGUGAUAGAGUUGUCCCCUGUGCAAGAAUUAGAAGUUUCUCAGAAAAACCCAUUCCAUCUUCAUCAAUGUGUGUCUCGGGGAUGUUAGAAGUGUUAGGUCAGUUGGUGCAUCAAAGUCACAAACAAUCUUCCUUGAGCUUGCUUUCAUUUUCAUUUUGCAAUUCAUUCUUUUUCUUUGUACUUUCCGUACAGUGAUCUUCUUUUCAAGGCUGCAUCAGACUAUGGCAGCAACAGCCUAUCUUCUCUGCUGGAAGCUCAAAAUGCUGAUGAACAAACUGCUCUCCACUUAGCUUGUAGAUGUGGCAGUGCAGAACUUGUUGAGGCAAUUUUGGAGUAUGAAGAGGCAAAUGUUGAUGUCUUGGACAAAGAUGGAGAUCCUCCUCUUGCUUAUGCAUUAGCUGCUGGAUCCCCAGAAUGCGUUCGCAGUCUUAUCAAAAGAGGUGCUAAUGUGAGGCCACAAUUAAGAGAUGGCUUUGGCCCAUCUGUUGCUCAUGUUUGUGCACAUCAUGGCCAACCAGAAUGCAUGCGAGUAUGUUUUACUUUAAUCAUAUUCAGGUUCGUCUUUGCAUUUACUAGAGCUAUAUUCAUAUAAAUAUAUGGUAAAAUAACAGGAAUUACUAUUAGCUGGAGCUGAUCCUAAUGCAGUGGAUGAUGAAGGUGAAUCUAUCCUGCAUAGAGCAGUUCCCAAGAAGUGUUGGACAUUUUAGUGUAAUUGAUCUCUUUAUUAUGUUAAAAUAAGAGUGCACGCUUGUUUUAAUGUAAUAACGAGAUGCUCGGUUUAGGCAAAUUUUGGAAGUUACAUGGAAGUCAAAUUUUGGAAGUUACAUGGAAGUUAUUUUUCAAGAAAAGAAAGUUUUUUUAAAAAAGAUAAACUUCCAUCAACCGCCAACCGUUUUAUUUUAAAGGAUAAAACUUCCAUAACUUCCUUCAACCGCCAAAAACCACCUGUUCUUUGAUUAUAAAUAAUCAUCCUGGUUCAGAAAGCAUAACAUGUGAAAAACAUACAAGACCAAAACAAAACUCUUGAAUUAUAAUCUUCUGAUUUUAUCCGAUUGAACAAUUUUGGUUGAACCCCGAAAUUUGAUUCAAUCUGAAAGUGUUUAUACACGACUUCAGAUUUAUCCAGGAUUAUCUCGAUUUUCAAAAUUAACCAACAAAAGAUUGAAUCAAAUCUUUCGAGAUGACGAACGAUAGUUCGAAGAUGACAAGCAAGUUUGCAAAGUUGGACAAGUUUGAAGGGUAGGAUUUCAGAAGAUGGCAGAAGAAGAUGCACUUUCUCUUGACAACAUUGAAUGUGGUGUAUGUGCUGAGUACACCGAUGCCGGUGUAUAUGGAAGGCGAAACUCUGGAUCAAACAAGGAAGCGUUCGAAAUGGGAGAACGACGAUUACAUUUGUCGUGGACAUAUUCUGAACGGUAUGUCUGACUCUCUCUUUGAUAUUUAUCAAAAUGUUGAGUCUGCUAAGGAAUUAUGGGACUCUCUUGAAUCCAAGUAUAUGGCAGAAGAUGCCUCAAGUAACAAAUUCUUAGUUAGUAAUUUCUUUAAUUACAAAAUGAUUGAUUCGAGGCCUGUUAUGGAGCAAUAUAAUGAACUGCUGCGGAUUUUGGGUCAGUUUACUCAACAUGAUUUGAAAAUGGAUGAAUCCAUUGCAGUUUCAUCUAUAAUUGAUAAACUGCCUUCUUCUUGGAAAGACUUCAAGCAUACCUUGAAACAUAAGAAGGAAGAGUUGACUCUGGUUUAACUCGGUAGUCAUUUCAUGAUUGAGGAGUCGCUGAGGGCUCAGGAAAUUGACAAAGUCAAUAAUAAAACCGUAGCAGGUUCCUCUUCCGUUAAUAUGGUAGAGGAAAGUGGAACAGUUAAGCAAAAUUACAAUGCUAAAGGUAACAAAUGAAAAUUUCAAGGAAAUAAGAACAAAGGUCCAAACAAACAGACAAAAUUGUCUUGUUGGAAGUGUGGGAAACCUGGUCAUUUAAAGAGGGAUUGCCGGGUGUUCAAAGGAAAGAACAAGGUUGGUCCAAGUGGGUCUAAUGAUCCUGAAAAGCAACAAGGUCAGAUUGUAGUGAAUAAUUUUAAUUCGAAUACGAAUUCAAAUUAUGUAUCACUAAUAUCUGAUGCAUUCUAUGUGCAGGAUGAUGACGUUGCUUGGUGGUUUGAUUCGGGAGCAACAAGCCAUGUGUGCAAAGAUCGUCGUUGGUUCAAGGAAUUUAGACCAAUCGAUGAUGGCUCUAUUGUGAAGAUGGGCAAUGUUGCAACUGAACCAAUCCUAGGAUUAGGUUGUGUGAAUUUAGUUUUUACUUCCGGAAAAAGUUUGUAUUUGGAUAAUGUCUUAUUUGUACCUGGUAUUCGUAAGAACUUAUUGUCUGGUAUGGUUUUAAAUAAUUGUGGUUUCAAGCAAGUACUUGAAAGUGACAAGUACAUCUUGUCAAGACAUGGUUCGUUUGUUGGAUUUGGUUAUCGUUGUAAUGGAAUGUUUAAAUUAAACAUUGAUGUUCCUUUUGUUCAUGAAUCUGUUUGUAUGGCCUCGUGUAGUUCUAUAACUAAUAUGACAAAAUCAGAAAUUUGGCAUGCUAGAUUAGGACAUGUUCAUUACAAAAGAUUAAAAGAUAUGUCAAAAACAAGUAUGAUUCCUCCUUUUGAUAUGAACAUUGAAAAAUGCAAAACUUGCAUGUUGACCAAGAUCACUAGGAAACCUUUUAAGGAUGUUAAAAGUGAGACUAAAGUCUUAGACCUUAUUCAUAGUGAUUUGUGUGAUUUGCAUGCUACUCCAUCAUUAGGUCAUAAAAAAUAUCUUGUUACUUUUAUUGAUGAUGCAUCAAGGUAUUGUUAUGUAUAUUUAUUAAAUACAAAAGAUGAAGCUCUUGAUAAAUUUAAAAUUUAUAAGAAAGAGGUAGAACUUCAUCAAAAUGGGCUAAUCAAAACUCUUUGUACGGAUAGGGGAGGUGAGUAUUAUGAUCCGGUUUAUUUUCAAUCUACUGGAAUAAUACAUCAAACUACAGCUCCCUAUACACCACAACAGAAUGGUGUAGCCGAAAGGAAGAAUAGAACCUUGAAAGAAAUGGUGAAUUCCAUGUUAUCCUAUUCGGGUUUAAGUGAAGGAUUUUGGGGUGAGGCUAUGUUGACAGCCUGUUACUUGUUGAACCGAAUUCCUAACAAAAGGAAUAAGGUUACCCCAUAUGAACUUUGGCACAAAAAGACACCAAAUUUGAGUUAUCUCAAAAUUUGGGGAUGUAGGGCUGUAGUCAGGCUUACAGAACCUAAAAGGAAAACCAUAGGUGAAAGAGGUAUAGAUUGCAUAUUUAUUGGAUAUGCUGAACAUUCUAAAGCAUAUAGAUUCUAUGUGCUAGAAUCUAAUGAUUCUGUUGCUGUGAACUCGAUUAUAGAGUCACGAGAUGCUAUCUUUGAUGAACAAAGGUUUACAUCUAUACCUAGGCCAAAGGACAUGAAUUCCAUGUCGAAAGUCUCAGUUAAUAUUGAGGAUAUACCUUUAACUAGUACUGAAACUAGAAAGAGUACGAGAGUAAGAAAAGCUAAGUCAUUUGGUGAUGACUUUCAACUCUAUUUGGUUGAAGGGUCAAGGAAUGAUAUUGAAUUUCAAUAUCAAUAUUGCCUUAAUGUUGAGGAAGACCCAAAGACUUUUAGUGAAGCAAUGGCUUCAAGGGAUGCUGUAUUCUGGAAAGAAGCAAUCCAAAGUGAGAUGGAUUCCAUCAUGCAAAAUAAUACCUGGAAAUUGGUUGACUUACCUCCUGGAUGUAAGCCAUUAGGAUGUAAGAUGAUCUUUAGGAGAAAGAUGAAAGUGGAUGGUACUGUUGACAAGUACAAAGCCAGAUUGGUUAUCCAAGGCUUUAGGCAAAAGGAGGGUAUUGAUUUUUUCGAUACAUAUGCUCCUGUUGCUAGGAUAUCCACUAUUAGACUGUUGUUAGCACUUGCUGCUAUCCACAAUCUGAUGAUUCACCAAAUGGAUGUGAAAACUGCAUUCUUAAAUGGUGAAUUGGAUGAAGAGAUAUACAUGAAACAACCUGAAGGGUUUGUUAUGCCAGGAAAUGAAAAUAAGGUGUGUAAACUGAUGAAAUCUCUUUAUGGCUUGAAACAAGCGCCUAAGCAAUGGCAUCAAAAAUUUGAUGAGGUUGUGUUGUCUAGUGGUUUUGUUAUAAACCAAGCAGAUAAAUGUCUAUACAGCAAGUUUGAUACUCAUGGCAAAGGAGUUAUCAUUUGUCUGUAUGUAGACGACAUGUUGAUCUUUGGUACCGACCAAGAUCAAGUUGAUGAAACUAAGGCAUUUUUGUCUUCUAAGUUUGAUAUGAAAGAUAUGGGGGAGGCGGAUGUGAUCUUAGGAAUAAAGAUUAAACGUGGAAACAAUGGUAUUUUCAUCUCUCAAUCACAUUAUAUUGAGAAGAUAUUGGAGAAAUUUAAUUUUAAAGAUUGUUCUCCGGUAAGUACUCUCAUUGAUCCUAACCUGAAGCUAUUACCUAAUAAAGGUGUAGCAUUGUCUCAACUUGAAUACUCAAGGGCGAUAGGAUCACUCAUGUAUGCAAUGAUUAGUACUAGGCCUGAUAUAGCUUAUGUUGUUGCUAAACUCAGUAGGUUUACAAGUAAUCCUAGUUCUCAUCAUUGGCAAGCUAUGAAUAGAGUAUUCAAAUACUUAAAGGGAACCAUUGAUUAUGGUUUGACAUAUACUAGAUUUCCUUCGGUUAUUGAAGGUUACUCUGAUGCAAGUUGGAUAACCAAUAUGGAGGAUUAUUCAUCCACAAGUGGUUGAGUAUUCCUCCUUGGAGGAGGUGCUAUAUCUUGGGCAUCCAAGAAAUAGACCUGCAUUACAAAUUCAACAAUGGAAUCUGAAUUUGUAGCUUUAGCAGCAGCUGGUAAAGAAGCUGAGUGGCUAAGAAAUCUGAUCUAUGAGAUUCCAUUGUGGCCCAAACCUAUACCUCCCAUGUCUAUCAGGUGUGAUAGUCAGGCAACUUUGGCUAAGGCAUAUAGUCAAGUGUAUAAUGGGAAGUCUAGACACUUGGGUGUUAGACACAACAUAGUUCGGGAGUUAAUCAUGCAUGGUGUGAUAUCAGUGGAGUUUGUGAGAACUCAGCAUAAUUUGGCCGAUCAUUUAACCAAAGGGUUAAGUAGAGAUCUCGUGAAAAGGUCGGCUGUGGGAUUAGGAUUAAAGUCCAUCUGAAAUCUCUUAUGUUAAGAUACCCAAUUCCCAUCUAAUAUGACAUUAGGUGCUGAAUUCAAUGUGGAAAGCUUAACAUGUAGAGAUUGGAACACAUCAUCGAAAUUAUCCCAAAAGGAAUGUGUUCGGUUCUGUAAGUUAAGGAGGUUGAAGUAUAACUUCUCAAUGGUUCUUUUGAAAAAUUGCAUUUACAGGUGCAAGAAAGAAAAGGACUACCUAUAUAAGCAUGAAGUUUAGCCGCUUCAAGAAGCUGGGACUUGGCUUUGAUAUGCUUAUGAAGGAUAGGGACACAGGCUAGUAAAACUAGUGUCGAGCAAGAGUAAUGUUAUAAACUAUUGUGCAGAUUAUCUUCAUGUAUUCAUUAUGAAUAGAAAGGGUUCAAUCCUUAGUGACACCCUGAUAUUCGAAUAUUUGAAACGUGUAAUUUGCUAAGAUGAAAUUCAAUCGUCACGAUAUUUCAUCUAUGCAGUAGUUUGUUGUAUGUUAUGACUUUGGUGAUUUGAUCGGUAAUUACACUAAAAUGGGGGAGGUUUGUUGGACAUUUUAGUGUAAUUGAUCUCUUUAUUAUGUUAAAAUAAGAGUGCACGCUUGUUUUAAUGUAAUAACGAGAUGCUCGGUUUAAGCAAAUUUUGGAAGUUACAUGGAAGUCAAAUUUUGGAAGUUACAUGGAAGUUAUUUUUCAAGAAAAGAAAGUUUUUUUAAAAAAGAUAAACUUCCAUCAACCGCCAACCGUUUUAUUUUAAAGGAUAAAACUUCCAUAACUUCCUUCAACCGCCAAAAACCACCUGUUCUUUGAUUAUAAAUAAUCAUCCUGGUUCAGAAAGCAUAACAUGUGAAAAACAUACAAGACCAAAACAAAACUCUUGAAUUAUAAUCUUCUGAUUUUAUCCGAUUGAACAAUUUUGGUUGAACCCCGAAAUUUGAUUCAAUCUGAAAGUGUUUAUACACGACUUCAGAUUUAUCCAGGAUUAUCUCGAUUUUCAAAAUUAACCAACAAGAAGUCCGCUGACUGUGCCCUUGUGAUACUGGAAAAUGGGGGAAAUGGAUCAAUUGCCAUCUUGAAUCCAAAGAAUAUGUCUUAAGUAUAGAUUUCCCAUCAAUUUUCUUCUUAAGCUUAAAAUGUGUUUGCCAAACUUGUCAAUCAGUCUAGGACUCCAGAGGUACAGAAAGAAACGGAUCUUACUCAUCAAUUUUGCAUAUCCAAUGAUCAAUGUGAAACAUGCACUUUAGCUGUCUCAGUCCACUGCAAUGACAGCAUGGCUUUUCUCUAGCAUGGAGCAGCAAACUCAUGUCGAAACAUGCACCUUAGCUGGAUAAAAUUGAUACAAACUACUUCUGUAAUUUCUUAGCUGCUUGUACAAUUGAGUACAAUUUAGGAUAGGAAUUGGAACAGAAUGACAAUAUAUUUCUCUAAAAUCCUUUAAUGUAUAAUGAAUAAUUGCUGCUAAUGCUCAAUAUCUUACAUAAGUGACAUUUAUUCUUAUUAUCUCUUCAUUAUGGUGCGUUCCUUCUGAAUUUUGAUUCCACUGAAAAACUUUCUAAUUUGCUGGUGGACACUAUCUUAUUGAUGCCAAAUUUUGUUUGUGGUCUUCCAUAGUUCUCUCCAAAUUUAGAGGUCAUGGAUCUUACCUUUUCAAUAGAUAGUUCUUUAUUGAUGUAUGUUGUCUGCGGGCUAAACAAACAGGUUGUUGGUUUCCCCCUAGCACUGGCAGACCUCUUUACUGAUUUUUUUUCAUCUUCUGUGCAUUAUCUAGGUUUAAUCAACAGUCCCUUGUCAUUCUGGUUCCUUAUUCUAUUGAGUUUUUAGUGUGAGCUUUUGUCAGCAAAAGGAAAAAAAAAUCAUAUUGUAAUGCUUUAUAUUACAAUAAUUUUAGUAAUCAAGUUUCAGAAUAACCAUAUUUGUAAAUAGAGAUUUUUUAUUUAUUUAUAAAUUACAUAAUAUAUGAAUACUUACAAUAGUAUGAUGAUAUGAUCAUUGUUUUAUUUGACGACCUUUGUAUAGAGAAUAGAUCUACAUGGUUCUUAUUUCUUAUCACUAGUACUAUUUUUACUUUGGAUAGAGUAAUUAUUAAGUUGUUGGUGUUAUAUUCCAUUUGUUUUUGCUCUCAUGCUAGACUAUACUGAUAGAUUAUAGAUAUCAUCAGGAUACUUUGACAAAUGUCUUUGUGAAGCUUGGGUUUUUAUACCUGUAUCCGUUGUUUUGUUUUUCCUCAUGAGUAAGUUGGGUCUGGUCGUAAUAUAUCUAGGGCAAAGGAAUGGUUUCUUAGAUGUAAAAGAUGGUAGUCUAUUCUUUUACUUUGAAUAAACCACAGUAGAAGAUUUCUGCACUGUGAUAUUGCUGAUGGGAAAACUGGAAAGAAAAAAAUCAAUUAUUCCUGUCUGAAUCAACCAUGGCCACCUCUUCUUUGUCCUUAUUUAAGUAGUACAACAACAACAACAACAACAACGCCUUAUCCCACUAGGUGGGGUCGGCUACAUGGAUCAACUUCCGCCAUAAUGUUCUAUCAAGUACCAUACUUCUAUCCAAACCAUUAAUUUCGAGAUCCUUUUUGAUAACCUCUCUUAUAGUCUUUUUGGGUCUUCCUCUGCCUCGAAUUGUUUGUCUUCUCUCCAUCUGGUCUACUCUUCUCACUACAGAGUCUACCGGUCUUCUCUCUACAUGCCCAAACCACCUAAGUCUAUUUUCCACCAUCUUCUCUACAAUAGGCGCUACUCCAACCAUCUCUCUAAUAGCUUCGUUUCUAAUUUUAUCCUGUCGAGUCUUACCACACAUCCACCGCAACAUCCUCAUCUCCGCUACACCUACUUUAUUCUCAUGUUGGCUCUUGACCGCCCAACAUUCUGUUCCGUACAAAAUUGCCGGUCUUACCGCAGUCCGAUAAAACUUUCCCUUUAGCUUGAUCGGUACCUUUGCAUCACAUAACACCCCCGAUGCUUUUCUCCAUUUCAUCCAUCCUGCUUGAAUGCGAUGAUUCACAUCCCCUUCAAUGCUUCUAGGAAACUGAAAGCAUAUGCUGUAGGUCAAUCAUAUAAUAGCAAGUUAAAUACCACUGAAGCUGGUAUUUUAGCUAAUUUUAAAGGAAAUUGCUUCUUUUUAUCAUAAUUCUGGGGGUUAGUUUUUUAGUUCUUGGGUGUUUUAUUUCUUCUCAUAUUUGUUGGAAUUUCUAUAUGGGAUUGCAACAUUUUAAAUGCAUUCUUGUUUCUGUGUGGGUGUUUGAAUAUAGAUAUCAUUUCGCCUCACAUGCAUCUGUGAUCAUCUAGUUUUACACUUUUGAUGUUGCAGACUGCUGCACUUGUGUGUGACAACUUGGAAUGAUAUCUAAAUUCAAACAUGGGAUUGCUGAAGUUGCAACUUCUGAUGAGAUUGCUGAAUCAAUUGACAUGACAUCCCAAGCCCUAUGAGCACUGCUUUGUGGAUGGCUGCUGCCUCCAAGAAAGAUCAUGAAAGUGGUAUGAAUAUCUGGGAUUAUUGGUUGAUACUUGAUAAUGAUUUUAGAAUUCAUAUUGUCUGUUGAUUGGGCUAUUAUAGUUUUUUAUUCAUACCUGUUGUUAUUGCUGUUUUUUUUUAUUCCAAACAAAGUUCAGUGCAUAUUUUCUUCUAGUAGGUAUUCCUAAUUUAUGCUAAUAAUUAAUAAAGCUUCUGUUUUCUAAAAUAGUUAAGUCAUCUGAUUUUGUUUGCUCAUGCAAAAUAUAGAGGAGAGAGAAUAGGUGCAAAUUUUGCUUUCUGCGGAGCAGAUCCAUCUGCUCAACAUUCACAGCAUGGGCGGACAGCUUUGCAUACAGCUGUUAUGAUUGACGAUGUUAAAUUGGUUAAGGUGAGUAAACCAGAUUCUUGAUUAGAAUGAUUAAAUAUCCAUCAAUAUUCAAUAUCAUGUUGGAAUAUGAAGUAUGUGCCUUUUGUAUCUGAUGUUAACUAACUUCUUUUUUUUGGUGUUGAGUAGGUUAUUCUUGCUGCUGGUGUUGAUGUGAACAUUCGUAAUGUGCACAAUGGCAUUCCUCUUCACAUAGCCUUAGCUAGGGGUGCUAAGUCAUGUGUUGAACUACUUCUAUGUAUUGGGGCAGAUUGCAAUUUGCAGGUUUUAAUUCAAGUUCUGAAUUUACUCUGUUUAACUACAGCAUUACACUAAGUGUUAUACUACUGUUGGUUCUUUAUAUAAGAAACAAAUAAUUAAUUCAUCAAGACCAAUCAAAGUAGUUUAGUUAAUUUUAAUUAAUAAUGUCAUAAAUUAAAAUUUGAUUCCAAAAGUAAAUAUAAAGGCAAAGUUUCAUAUCUCUUAUUAUUGUAUUGUUUCAAAACGAAUAUAUGGUGCUUUGAUCUUAUUUCUUUUUUCCUCUUGAUCUCUCUGAUACAUUAUAAAAUGAUUUUUCUAUUUGAUUAUAGUAGAUUUGGAAUUGAACUUCAUCAUAUGACUGAUUGAUUGCUGAGUUCAGUCUCCAGUUCACUGUAGUCAGCCACUUCGUCACAGAGUAAAUUAAGCCUAAUGAUAAUUUAUAUGGUUAUAAAUGGUUGGGGGACUGACUAAUCUAAGGGACAUGAUUCUUAUUAGAACUCAAAAAGUUACAUAUGCUGUUGAAAAUGUAGAAUGGAAUAUUGAAGUCUCUCUAAGUUUAUACAAUUGUCAUCUGUUUGGGAAUAUUUGAGAUCUAAUGAUAUAGUUGAAACUUGAAAGUUUAGUGUUUGCUUCCAUUGCAGGCAUUUAAUCUGUCAGACAAAUUGCAAUUUAACAAUUUGAGGUUUAUCCUCUUCAAAAAGUUAGUACAUAAUAUCUCAAACUAAGAGUUGGUUCAUAACAUUUUAUGGUGCACUCUAAAAUUGACAACUAGGCAGUUACAAGUAGCACCUGACUGGAACUAAAAUCUUCUCAAUGACAGUUUUUAGAUUGCACCGAACUUCUGGAGGAUGAAGUUUUACAAAUGAAACCUCACCAUUCAUUUUAACUCCUCAAUAGUGAGCCAGAGUUCAGGGGUUGUUAAAGUGUUACUAGCGUAACUUCUGUACCAACACUGAAAAGUGCAUAAACUUUAAAUCUACCUUUUAUCCUAAACAGUAAGUAGGCAUUAGUUUUGAUUUACUGUUGUCUUUAUCAUAUCUAUCUUUUACAUUUUAGGCUGGCUUGUGUACAUGCACAAGGAUAAACAGGGUGGAAUAUGUUUUUUUAACAAAAAAUUGUUACAUGCUAUAAAUAUUUGAAAGUUGACAUUCUAGUGUCCGCCUAUUGUCUGAAAUAAGUUUUGCUAUUAUGUUUCUAAUUUAAAGUUCUAAGCUGUUUAUUUUGUCUCAGGAUGAUGAUGGUAACACUGCUCUCCAUAUAGCAGCAUGAACAGCAAAAAUGAUACGUGAAAAUCUUGAUUGGCUCAUUGUAUGCUUGGGAAUCCUAAUGCUGAUAGUCAGAAACUACUGGCAAGUUGCAGCUCUGUGCACUCAUUCUCAUUAGAUUUUGAUUACAUUUUUUUUCAUCUUUUAACCAUCUGAAAAACUUUUGUCCAUCCUUUUAGAAAACUUUGGCAACUUUCAUUUUUCCAUUCCAAAAGAAAGUCCCUCCUAUGACUUAUAGAGUUAUGUUUUAUUACAGUGGCAAGACUCUAGGUGACAUCUUGGAUGUCCUUCCCCGAGAAUGGAUAUCAGAAGAUCUGAUGGAGGCACUCAUGAAGAAAGGAGUUUGUCUCUCUCCUGCAAUGUAAGGCAACGACAUUUUAUUAUUAUUUUUUUUAUUUACUGUUCUUGAAAUAUCUUCAUUGUAUGUCUUAAAAUAUUUUAGAAUAUCGUAGGAAAUCUUUGAAUUUUGUCAUAUCAAUUACCUCUCGAAUAUAGGAAGAAAUUUUAGCUGUUUCCUAACUUCAUUAUGUUUUUAAUUAUUUUCCUUAUUUAAGUAGGGUUAGGAGUUUAUUGUCUUAGUGUGCUUUUUGCACUUGUAGCAUAGAACUACACCUGUAAGUGACCUAAUUCAUAGUAUAAAUAAGUGCCAGUGUCUGUAAUCUAAUGGAAUACUAUCAAGAACCUUCACUGAGAAAACAAUACAAUUUAGCUCCUUCUUUUUCUCUUUCCCUCCUUUCCUACCUUAAGCCCCAUAAAUUCAAUAGAUGUGAUAUCAUAUUUAUUUUCUAACCACAUCCAACUAUUUUUUUAUAAUUUUUGUUUAUUGUUUUAGAUUUGAAUUGGGAGACUGGGUGAAGUUUAGAAAAACUUCCAUAACUCCAACAAAUGGGUGGGAAGGUGAUCGGCAGAAGCAGGUGGGCUUUUUGCAGAGAGUUCCAGACAAAGAUAAUCUCAUUGCUUCAUUUUGUUCUGGAGAGUAUUAUAGUGUUUUGGCCAAUAAAGUUGUAAAAGUCGUUCCAUUAGACAGGGGACAACAUGUGCAGCUUAAAGAGGAUGUAAAAAAGCCAAGGUUUCUUUCUGCAUAAAUCUUAUAUGAAAUAUAAGUGAGGAAAAGUAUGUGUGAAUUUUCAUCAGUACAUGCAUAUGUUUAUAUUAUGUACAGUAUGAAUUACAAGAGGAACCAUCUUCUAAAUCAGAACUAAUUAGCCCUGGCACCACUCAUCCAUGAGUCAGUAACAUCCAACUAAGCAUUAUAUAAUAUAAUGGCUUCUUUGUGUCCAUGCCUCUGUUGGAGGGAUUUCUAUGAUCCUUUAAAAUAUCUAAAUAGAUUGGAGAGGUCAUAUUUGGAUCCAAUUGCAAGGUACGAGACUUGAGUCCCACAGUAGAAGUGUGGGAUUAGAAUUCUGUUUGAGUCCAGCUUCUCUUAUUAAGGAGAAGAGAAACCCAAAAUAAAUUAGGCCAAGCACUUCCUAAAACAUCAUAUGAUGUCUGGAAAUGAUGUAUAUUUGGCCUUUGUUCUUAUUGCAGAUCAUUUGUGUUAGUCCAACAUGUAUUGCAGGCAGUCUUUACUUUCCAGAUAGUGAUCAUGAGUUGUAAACUAACAAGUAUUACAACACAACUUAGUGAUUUCUAUGAUCACUAGACUCAACUUUUUGGUUUUUAGAACGGAUGUGCAUCUCAAAUUCUUUAAAGGAUCUAUGAGUUUAUAUCCAUGCAAUGACAUCUCACUGUCUACCUCAUCAUAGAUGAAGGUGUCAAGAAUCUCUUUCCCAUCCCAUAUGAAGGUAUCUAUAAUCUCAUCCUCAUCUCAGAUGGAGAUAUCUCAUAUCUUUCUCUCAUCCCAAAUGAAAAUAUCUUUUGGAUAUUCAAUUUUCAAUAAAAUAUACAUUGUCACCACUUCCUAAAAGAUGACUAAUAAAUUACAAAGUCAUACCCCAAAUUAUAACAUCAUGAGAGUCAAUUAAUAAUUAACUAUGAAAUAAAACACACACACAAUAUUAAAUAUAUUUUAGUUGAUAUAUAUGAUAGCUAAACACAAAACUCAAGCAAACUUAUUCAUGAAUUUUUAAAUAAAUUCCAAGAUUAAAUAUGUAACCAAUGAAGAUUUGUACAUUAUAAUACCCCUUUUGUAAAAUUAAAUCAAACCCCACGAAUAGUAACAAUUACAUGUGAAUAUGGUUAUAUCAGACCCUUAAAUAAUGUCAUGCAAUGAUACGACGGAACCUAAAUUUUGCAUCAUCAAUGGAUUAAUUGACACAAAUAUCAAUGUAUCAAUUUAUCGAUUUAUCAUUGGUAAACUCAAAAAGAUGUAUUUCUAAAAUCUAUAUCAUGAAAGUUUAGAAAAAGAAGGUCAUUUUACUCACUUCUUGAAACACAUAGUAAUUCACGCGUUUCACUUAUUAUUCUUCUUCUACUGGGACAACAAGAUUCUUUUUGUUUCUUCUUUCUUCUCAAUCCUAUAUAAUUUACUAAUUUUUUAUUUUCUAAGAGACUGUCUAUAAAACUUUAGAAGAAGAGAAUUAUUUAUUCCUAUAUAAUACAAGGAUAUAUAAUUUAAGAUUAGGUCACAUGAGAUAUAUUCUUAGUAGAUUUGGCUAAUCAAAUCUUUCUUUUUUUUCCUACUUAUUAUCUUGAUUUACCUGAUUAUUAAAAUUAUCUAAUAUUUUAUUUUCUUUCAAGAUAUAUUAAGAUAAACCAUGGUAAAAUUUAAAUCAUUGUCAAUUAUCACAAUUUUACAUGUAACAAAUAUCUUAUCCAAACUAGAUAUACAAUGCUAUAUUAUUAAUAGAAUAAUUAUUUUUACAAUAAUAAUAAUCUUUUUAAUCCUCUUAAUUAGGAUAUGAAAGAGUCACGCUUUCUUUUAUAAUUAUAAAAUAAUCUCAACAAUUUUUAUAUUAACUGACUAAUCUUUUUUAUUUAUAAAACUCAAUAAAGUACUUAAAAGAUACAUAAUCUUUUUAUUCAAUAUUUCAAAGAUAUAUAUAUAUAUAUAUAUAUAUAUAUAUAUAUAUAUAUAUAUAUAUAUUAUCAUAAUUAUUUUAAUUAAAAUUAAUAACAAUUAUUAUAUUAAAAUUUUAGGAUGUUACAUGAGAAUGAGAAGAUAUGUAAGUAUGGAGACGACUUCCCCAUUCUGAAUUACACUAGGCCGUCAAUUGCAAAUCAAAAUUUCUACUCAAGAGCACACACCUUGUUCUGGAUUCCCUACUACUCACAUCAGCCUCCUAAUACUCUUGUCUAGGUUGAUGCAUGAACUGAGACAAUAUGUAAACACAAUAAGACAAUUUUGGUAUAGUUAAACAAAGGUAAAUAAGGCGUCCAACUAUCCGCCUAUAUUAAUCAAGAUGAGAAAAUUCUGAUCCUUCAACAAUACCCAAACCAUGAUUCUGCUCCAUGGGACUAUUUGAUGAUUUUGUUUCAAAAAAAUCUUGUUUCUCUUAUGAUACUCAGAACAGUCAAUUGUAUCAAAUAAAAGAAAGAAGAUAACUCUUCAAUUAUAACAAUUUUAUACAAAAAAUUAAAAAUAUAUAAAAUUUACUUUUUAAGUUGCUUCUAUAAAAAACUAUUAUAACACGUAGAUUUUGUUCUUCACAAAAUCAAGGUCAAGAACCAAUAAAUGUUGAACAUUGACAUUUUCUGCUUCUCUUGCUUAAGUUUUUUUUUUUUUUGGUGAAUUUUUCUCUUGCUUAAGUUUUUUUUUUUUUUGGAUGAAUUUUUCUCUUGGUUAAGUAGGAGGCAUCUAAGUGACAAAGACGCGUUUUCUAUUUCAAGAGUCUUGUUUGGUAUACAAAUUAAAGUCUUUUAUUCUGUAAUCAAUUUAUAGUAAAAAUAUCUGAUUAAUUUUUAUGAAGUUUUAUUUAACGUCCCUUUACUUCAAAAUCACAUGUUAAGAGGAUAGUAAAUGAAUGGGUUUUUUUUAAGUGAAUGCAUCUCUCUCUUACUUUUUUUUUCAAUUUAUACUUUGUAAUUUAAUUCCCAAUAUACACAUUCUCUUUUUUUUGUUUUUUUUUUAAUUUAAAAAUUAUAAAAUAUAAAUAUUAUAUUAUAUAAUUUUUUAAUUGGUUUUAAAAUUAAUUAUUUAUUAAAUUAAAUUUUAUAAUUUUGUUUUUUAAUUUUUUAAAAUAAAAUAAUAUUAUUAAAUAUAAUUAUUUUUAUUUUAUUAUUUAAUUAACUUAACAUAUUUUUAGGUGAAUAUUUUUAUUUAAAAUCUGAAUUUUAUAAUAUAAUUAUAUUACUAAAUAUAAUUAGUUUGUUUAUGUCAUUAGAUUUAAUUAAAAAUGAGAAGACUUUUUGUUCAACAAUUUAUUUAUAGAAAAACAUUAUAUUGCAUUAUCAAUAAAAUACUUAAACAAUUACACUUGACUAAGAAAAAACUUAAAUGAAGAUAUAUUAGGACAAUUGUUUCUGUUAUGAGCAUGUUGCCGACAAAUUCCACAUUUUUUACUACUUUCUCAUUCAUUUUUCAUCUCGGUAGGAAUGCGAGUCGAGACGGGACGACCAUUUGCAGUCCUCUUUCUCCCUUGAUCAUAACCCACUGUAUUUUUUUAACGUGUUUCAUUAUUUUUUACUGUGUUUUUUAGUUUGUUUUAAUUCUACUAACUAAUUUUCUUAUUUUUUAAAUUAACGAACAUAACAAACUAAAUAUAAACAGCACAUAAAUUUAACUACAAAAGUACAUACAACUUAACUAAAAAAUUGUGGUUUUUUUUCCGUGAAUACACCCUCUCUAUCCUGCUUUUACUCAAUCUACACUACAUUGUAAUUUAAUUCCCAAUCUACACACUCUCUCCUUUUUGUUUUUUUUUUAAUUUAAAAUAUUAUAAAAUAUAAAUAUUAUAUUAUAUAAUUUUUUAAUUGGUUUUAAAAUUACUAAUUUAUUAAAUUAAAUUUUAUAAUUUUGUUUUUUAUUUUUUUAAAGAAAAAUAUACAGAUAAAGAAAAAUAAAAAAUUUGGGUAAAAUUAGAGUAUAAUUUUUUGGUUUUUUUUUCCGCCAAUACACUCUGUCUCUCUUGCUUUUUCCCAAUCUACACUACCUUACAAUUUAAUUUUCAAUAUAUACUACUUCGAAAUUUGUGCUUUAAAAGUGGUCAAUCUACACUAGUUUGCAAAUCAACGUGGCCAAGGGACUACUCAGAACAAACAAGUUAUAUAGCUAUGCCAUCUAUACCCAACUCUCUGUCCUUUUUUGUUUUUUUUUUUAAAAAAUUUUUAAAUAUUAUAAAAAAUAAAUAUUAUAUUAUAUAAUUUUUUUAAUUAUUUUUAAAAUUACUUAUUUAUUAAAUUAAAUUUUAUAAUUUUGUUUUUUAAUUUUUUUUUAAAGAAAAUGGUAUUAUUAAACUAACAAGUAUUCUUGAAGUUUUUAAACUUUAUACAAGAAUCCUGCUCUGAUACCACUUGUUGGACAUGUGGCCUCAGUUAUCUUAAGAAGAGGUGAAUUAAUUUCCCACUAACAAACUUUUAACUCCCUUCUAAAUGAGAUAGACUCAGAAUGCAGAAGGAGCAACAAUCAAUUUAAUAAUGUUCUUUAAACAUGGAAGACAAAAUUGAUUAUAACAAAAUAAAUGAGAUAAGGGAAGAGAGAAUGCAAACUCAGUUUUAUACUGGUUUGGCAAAGUCCGUUGCCUACGUCCAGUACUCAAGCAACCCAUUUGAGAUUUUCCACUAUCUUUGUAAAAAUCCUUUACAAAGUUUGAACCACACAGGGACAACCAUUCCCUUGUGUUCAGCAUUCCUUACAACUUAAGAGACCCUCGGUCCCUAAAUCAAUUACAUUGAAUAAGAAGAAAGAAGAGGAAUUCUCUCUUUAAAAGAAGGAUAUUACAAUUUAAGAUCAUGUAAGAAUCCUUAUAAAUUUUGCAAGUGUUUGGCCAAGGAUUUCUUUUGAGAGAGCAUUUAGAAAUUAAUUCACCACUUCUUAAGAUAACUAAGGCCACAUGUCCAACAAUAACUUUCACCUACCAUUGACAAAUUUAGAAGUGAAACAAGCUCCCAUGUGUCGUUCUUCUUGAUUGCCUUUAUUUCUUCAUCUAUAGCAAUUUUCCAAUUCUUGUUCUCAAUGGUUUCAUGGAAGCUCAUGGGUUCGCAAUCAACAAAUAGACAAAAAAGAGUAAGAUUAUCUUGAUUUUAGGUUACCUCAUAAAUUUCUUGUAAGCUCUUGAAGCAUGGAACUAUUUAACUAGAUCUUUCAUCUUCUUGAGUAUUUGCAAUUGGUGAAGUUGAUGGGAUACUAGGAUCCUUUAUUACUUCUUUGAAACACAAAAAAAGUUGUAGGUUCCAUCAUGUGGUCCCUAAUCCCAUUCUCCUUCUUCGUUGAAAUUGACAUCUUGAGUGAUGAUUGUAUUCCCCGAAUUAGGAUUGUAGAGCCUGUAGCCUUUGGAAUUUGAGUCAUAACUAAUGAAGAUGUACUUCUUACUUUUGUCAUCCAACUUGCUUAUUUUCUCAUCUAGUACGUGCUCAUGGGAAAUGCUUCCAAAGACUCUUGGAUGUGAAAUGUCGGGGUUCUUUCCACUCCAUGCUUCUUGUGGUGUUUUUUCCCAUAAACUUAUUGUUGGAGACUGGUUGGAAAGAUAAACUAUACAAGUCACUCCUUCUAUCAAAAAUUCCUUUGGAAGUAUUUUACUCUCGAGCAUGCUCCUCGCCAUGUCUAAUAUUAUUCUAUUCUUCCUUUCUACGACUCCAUUUUGCUUGGGAGAUCUCGGUUCUAUUAAGGGUCAUUGAAUUUCAUGAUCUUCAGAAUACUUUUGAAAUUCAUCCAAUGUAAAUUCUCCACCGUGAUCGAAUCUCAUGGCUUUGAUCUCAAGGCCAUUUUCCUUCUCAACAAGGGCUUUGAACUUUUUGAAAUUCUCAAACACCUCUUAUUUAUGCUUCAGAAAAAGUACUAUGAUUUUCUUGAAAAAUCAUCAAUAAAGAAAAGGAAAUAAUUGCUCCUUCCAAGUGAGCUUGUCUUGAUAGGACUACACACAUCUAUAUGCAUAAGUUCCAAUAAUUUUUUAGCUCUUGAGUUAGACUCCUUUGAAAUGUUUUUCUUGAAUUGCUUACCAAGUAGGCAUCCUUCGCACACUUGAUCAGGGUUACUAUUGCAAGACAAUCCUCUCACUAUUUCUUUCUUGGAGAGCAACUCUAAUUAAUCCUUCAAAAUUGAGAUGCCCAAAUUGAAUAUGCCAAAGCCAAGAUGCAUCCUUGUAGCACAUCUCAAGAUAUUUUGCGACAUCAUUUUGAAUGUUGAGCAAAAUCAUUUUAUUUCUUGACAUUGUCACCUUAGCAAUCAAAUUACUUGCAUUGUCUCUUAUAGAAAGGUUAUUGUCUUUUGAGCGAAUAUCAUAACCUUUCUCUAAGAAUUGCCCCAAGCUUUAGAUAUUACUUUUCAUAUUCGGCACAUAAUAAACAUUUGAGAUGAAUUGAUGCUCACCAUUCUUCAAACGGAUAAGAAUAUUACCUUCCUUUCACUUCUAGCUUGAAUUCAUCUCCAAAGGCCACAUUUUCGUUCAUCGAUUCACCAAGCUCCACCAACAUGAUCUUUUUACUACCCAUAUGAUUGCUUGCACCAGUGUCUAGGUACCAUUUAUUGUCUUUUCUUCUUUCAUCAGUCGUGCAAGUCAUCAAUAAAGGAUCACCUUCUUUACUUUGUUCUUCAACGUAGUUUUCCUUUUCUUCAACUCUAUCAUUGCUAGGAGCUCUACAUUUAGAAGCAUAAGGACCAAACUUGCCACAAUUGUAAAAUUUCACAUUUGACUUGUCAUACCUUGAUCUUGAGUUGUCUUGGCCAUGACCUCUUGUUGAGAUUUCUCCUCUUUGAAAUUUAUUGAGCUUUGCCCAUGGCCCUGUCCUUGUCCAUGACCUUGUCCUCUUCCUUGAUCUUCACUACAACCUCAUCCUUGUUGGCUUCUAUUAUUUUGGCUACUUUCUUCGCUGGUUGAAUAAACUUGUGUCUGAAGUAGUUGUUCCAUGAUCCCUUCCUUUAUUUUAUAAGCUUGUAAUGAGCCCAAAAUUUGCUCAAUGGUUAUAGCCUACAAAUCUUUUGUUUCAUCGAUGAUGGUGACAAUAUGUUCGAACUUUGGAUCUAACGGUCUAAGAAUUUUAUCCAUAAUUUUUAGAUAAUAAAUAUUUUCACCAUUUCUCUUAAGUUGAUUGGUGAUUGUUAAAAUUAUAGAGAAAUAGUCAAAGAUGACUUCAUUUUAUUUCAUAUGAAACAUUUCAAACUUGGCUCUCAAUGUUUGAAAACAUACCUUCUUGACUGGAUUCACUUCCUUGUAUAUGGUUUGAAGCGUCUUUUAUGCUUCUUUUGCCAAAUUUCCUUUUGAAACCUUCUCAAAAGCAUUGUCAUCUAAUCCUUGAUAGAUUAGAUAGAAAGCCUUCUUGUCUCUCUUUCUUGAGUCUCUCAAACCAUCCCUUUGAUUUUGAGAGAGACUAUCCUUAUUCCCUGGCUCGGUAUGGCCUUUCUCUAUUAUCUCUCAAACAUCUUGUGUGCCAAGGAUAGCCUUCAUCUUCAUGCUCUUAUUUUCAUAGUUGUUCUUGUUGAGCAUUGGAACUUGGAAUGGAACCAUGCCGCUACUUGCCAUCUCCUUAUAAAGGACCUUUUAGCUUUGAUGCCUAUUUGUUGAAAUGAAAUUUUUAGUAGUGUAAGAAAUAUUUGAGAAUGGGAGAGAUUAGACAUUUUAGAAGAAGAUACUAUUUGUAUAAAUGAUUCUUCAUUUUUGGCUUGAUUUGAUACAAACUCUAAGACAUCACCCCUAUUUAUAUUAGAGGCUCCUCCUAAACCAAUGGUUAGGAUUUUGUUAACACACACUGAAUUUAAUGACUGCAAAUAAUUCUCUAUAACUUUCUUCGUAGAUACAAUCUUACUCACAAAUUAUAGAUCAUUCUAUAUGCUACUUUAGAAUUAUCUUUUAAAAUAGAUUUCUCUAGAACAUUCUUGUAGAAUUUGGCCUAACGAUGUUUCUAGAAAUUGGGCUUUUAGACUAAUAAGGCUCAAAAUCAAGUUUAUAUUUCAACAUCUCAUGGGUGAAUACAUAUACUAAAUAUUCUCCAUCGGGGGUUUGUCUUUGAUGGAAACUUGAGAAGAAGCAUCAAUGAGUUGGUUGGAUAACAAAGGGAUUUGCAUUCCAUUUGAGAUCAUAGAUUGGGUUAUGGAAGAGUGUGUAUAAAUGGCAUCAUAGAAUAUGGUGGGGACGUCAUUUCUCUCGGUGACCUAAAUGAGUUGGAUGUGAGAAGAGUGUUUGGGGAAUUAAAUAGUGGUGGUGUUGGAAAGAAAAAAGAAGUUGUUGAAAUUAACAGAGUGGCCAUCAUUGAGUUGAAGUUCUUGAUUAGGGGUGGGUAGUUGUUGAAUUGGGAAUAGAGGGAAUAAAUGUCAAAGGCAGCUAUGCCAAGUGUGGUGAACAUUCAUACAAAGUUUUAUUCUUCAUUGUUCAAACUUAAGAUCUAAUUUGUCCCAAUUUUUUCUUUUAAAUUUUUCUUUAAUUCUUGUAUUUUUUUUUUUGGAAUUUAUGACAAUUUUUAACUCCCAUAAAUUGCAUUUUAAAAUUUAAAUUAAAAAAUUUCAUGUAGGUUUGGAUUUAUUCAAACUUAAUUCCAAGCCAAAAAGUAGUACAUUAGAUUUUUACAGGGACAAGAAAAAAAUUGCAAGGACUAAAUCUGAACUACGGUAACUUUUCAGGAUGAAAAAUAUAUUUUAACCUUAUAUUUUCCUAUCAAGUAGUGCUGGUGAAGUGUCAUCUUGUUUUACUUUCUUCUUUAUAUAAAAUCACACUUUAUGUGUAACAUGCAGAAAUCAUGAAAUUGUUGUGGGAAGAUAAAAUUUGAGCCAUAAAAGAGUUGAAUGUCGUUAUUUCAUACGCAUACUACAUGAUGAUGGUGUUUGUUGGAUAAAUUAUGGUGAUGAUGAUUGAUUCACUCAUAAUGAUGAUGGUGUUUAAUGAUUGAAUCUUGAUAUGAUAUUGAUGAGGUGGUGAUUGUUAUGAUUUUCUUUGUUAUGUGGAUUAUGAGACUUAUGCUCUAUGUAUGAUUUUAACAUAUUAUGGUAUAUAUGUGACGAUGGUAGAUUAGGCAUGCUUUAAUUGUGAAGUUUUAUCUUAUUUUAAUAUACUCCUUUAGUCUUUAAACACAAGAACUAUGACAUUUAUUUAAAGUUUAACAAUUAAAUUAAACAAAUAAUAUAAAAUAAUCAUAUUAAAUAUUAAUUACAUGAACCAAAUAAAAAUCCUUUAUAUUCAUCCGUUGCAUGAGUAAUCAAAUUAGGACAUAUUUAUUUGAGUGAUGUUUAUAUAAUCAUCAAAAUUUUAAUGUAAAGAGACUCUUAGAUAUUUAUAAUUAAAUUAAUGAAUACAAUUUUAUUAGAAUGAUGUUUUUAUUUCUUUUUAUAUCAAAACAUCCUCAUAUUUUUAAUGAGUCUAUAAAAAAUUAUACCUUUUAAUCAAUAAUAUAUUCUUUUAAUGUUGCAUUAAUUCAUCUUUAUAUUCAUUUAUGUCACUCGGGUAAUUAUAUUAGGACAAAUUCAUUUGGAUGAUUAAUUUUUUUAAUAAUCAUUGGGUUUUAUUUAUGUUUAAAGAAUCUUAAAUAUUUAUAUUUAAAUUUAAUUCAUACAACUCUUAUAUGAAUGAUAUCUAAAUUUCUUUUUAUAUCAAAACAUCAUUCUUUUUUUAAUUUGAAAUUGUAAAAAUUAUAUUUUAUAAAUUAUUAUAUAUUAUAUUUAUAUUACCCUAAUUUAUAUCUUUAUUUAUCAUGCGUAUCCAUUCAAAAUCAAAUUUAUUUGGAUGAUUAUAUAUAUAUAUAUAUAUAUAUAUAUAUAUAUAUAUAUAAAUAAUCAUUUGGGUUUUUUUAUUGCAAGAGUCUUACAUAUUUCAUAUUUUAAUUUAUGUUUCUUUUUAUAUUAAAACACCUUUCAUUUUUUCAAUUUAAUGUAUAAAAAAUUAUAUUUUUAAACUAUUAUAUAUUUUAUUUAUGACAUGUUAAUCCAUGUUUAUAUUCGUGUAUUAUAUCGGUGACCAUAUUAUAAUCAAAGAUCCCUUGAAGUUGAUACAAUAUUCCAUUAUUCCAUUAUAUUCAUGGAUGAAAAAAAAAAUAUCUUAAAGAUGUUAUUAGUUCAAAUUCACAAGCUUAAGAAGUAAUAUUUUUAACUAUAAAAGUAGUAGUUGUAAUAGUAAUUAUAAGAUAAGUAUAUUUAAAUAUACUUAUUUAGUGACCCAAAAUUUUAGAUGACUCAUUGGUGAAUAUUUCAAAACUAAUAAAGAUUGAAACUAUUUACAACCAAACACAUGUAUAAAUGCUUUUUUGAUUUCAAUAUUAAGCUAAAUGGCAUCAUUGGUGAAAAACAAUAUUUCGCGAGUAUAGAAUUUCAUGUUGUAACAAAUAAAUUCCACAAUUACACAAGGAAAACUUAAGAGAUAACAUCACUUUUAACUAUAGCAAACUUUUAUGAUAUAAGAAAAACAAUUAUCUCAUUAGAAGUAAACUCUUCAUAUGGUUAAGCAAUAUAUUUUUUUGGGGUGGUUGGGAAGCUUAUCUUUUCUUUAAAGAAAACUUUAAUUACACGUCAAUUGUUAAAACAUGAUUCAAAAGAUUGAUAUACCAUUGGUUUUUAUUAAAAAGGAAUUAAAUUUCAUUUGUCUAUAAAUUUAAAGUUUUUUUUAUUUCUAUUGUUAAAUAUGAAAAUUUUAUAACAAGAUAUUGAUCUCGAUAAUUCAUAUUUUUAUCCAUCCGUUGCAUAGGUAAUCAUAUUAGGACAAAUUCAUUUGAGUGAUUUUCUUAUAAUCAUUGAUUUUUUUAAUAUCAAGAUACUCUUAGAUAUUUAUAUUUAAAUUAAUGUAUAAAUUGUUUAUAAGAAUGAUGCUUAUAUUUCUUUUUAUAUUAAAACAUCCUUCAUAUUUUUAAUAUGAAUCUAUAAAAAGUUAUACUUUUUAAACAAUUAUAUAUUCUUCUUUUGUUGCAUCAAUUCAUCUUUAUAUUUUUUAUGCACCCGGGUAAUCAUACUAGAACAAACUCAUUUUGAUGAUUAUUUUUUUUAAUAAUCAUUGUGUUUUUUUAUAUUAAGAAACUAUAAAAUAUUUAUAUUUAAAUUAAUUCAUACAAGUUUUAUAUGAAUGAUGUCUAAUUUUUUUUUAUAUCAAAGCAUCAUUUUUUUUAAUUUGAAAUUAUAAAAAUUAUAUUUUAUAAACUAUUAUAUAUUAUAUUUAUGUUAGCCUAAUUCAUAUUUAUAUUUAUCUAUCAACACAAGUAUCAUAUAAAAUCAUUUGGACUUUUUAUUACAAGAGUCUUAGAUAUUUAACAUAUUUUAAUUUAUAUUUAUUUUUAUAUUAAAACACCUUUCAUUUUCUUUUCAAAUUGAAAGUAUAAAAAAUUGUAUUUUUAAAAUUAUUAUAUAAUCUAUUUAUGUUACGUUGAUUCAUAUUUGUAUCCAUCUAUCACUGGGUAAUCAUAUACUAAGAAAAAUUCGUUGGGAUGUUUAAAUUUUUUUGUAUCAAAACAUUUUCUUAAUUUGGUUAUAUAAAAAAUUAUAUUUUAAAACUAUUAUUUAUUUUAUUUUUAUCAUGUUAAUCCAUAUUUGUAUUCGUGUAUUACAUAAGUAAUCAUAUUAGAGUUUAUCGAUUUGAAUAAAAAAUUUAUAAUCAAAGAUCUAUAGAAGUCAAUACAAUAUUUCAUUAUAUCCAUGAAUGAAAAAAAAAUAUAUCUUAAAAAAGUUAUUAGUUAAAAUUCACAAGCCUAAAAAAUAAUAUUUUUAAUUAUAAAAGUAGUAGUUAUAAAAGUAAUUAUAAGAUAAGUAUAUUUAAAUAUACUCAUUUUAUUGACCCACAAUUUUAGAUGAGUUCAUUGAUGAAUAUUUUAAAAUUAACAAAGAAUGAAACUAUUUACAAAUAAAUACUUAUAUAUAAUUUUUUUGGAUUUAAUUAUUAAGAUAAAUAAUGUCAUUUAAGAGAUAACAUCACUUUUAACUAUUGAGUAUAGACUUUCAUGUUAUAACAAAUAAAUUUCAUAUUACACAAAUAAAAUUUAAGAGAUAAUAUCACUUUUUAUUAUAAUAUACUUUUAUUAUAUAAGAAAUACAAUUAUCUCUUUAAAAGUAAACUCUUCACAUUAUUACACAAGCAUCUCUUCUAUCCCUAAAAUAAGAUGUACAUCGUACAGUUGGAAUGUGGGCAAUCUUUGGCCAGUCUUGGCCUCCUGGGUUCUGGCAACGCUGCUCGAGGUUGGGGCAGGCUAUGAUAAAAAGAUUUGAAAUGGAAUUGGAAAGACCCUCCUCUGGUAGCUGUUGGAGGUUGGGGCAGUUAAUAAUCCAAAGAUUUGAAAUGGAAUUGGGAAGACCCUCCUCUGGUAGCUGUUGGAGGUUGGGGCAGCCAUCAAGAAUCAAUUUCUUGAGAGAGGAGAGCUGACAGAGCCCCUUGUAGUCCAGUUUUUUUAGAUUUGGAAAACCAUAUAUGCUUAGAUUAAUAAGAGAGAGUGGCAGUAAACCUUCAUCAGGAAAAGAUUCCGCAUCCAGCUUUCCUAUCCCCAAGCUUUCCAGAGAGGGAUUGUCUCCCAAAGCCCCUUUCAGUGAGGCCAUGAGUCCGGAGGAGCAUCUUAUGAGUCCGGAUGAGCAUUUAUAGAGUUCAAUCUUUUUUAGAUUUGAUGGCAAACCUCCUUCAGGGAACGACUCAACUCUUGGACAAUCUUUUAUUACUAGCUCCUUCAGAGAUGGAAGCAGCAUAUGCAUGCUUCCAGGCAAUGAUUCUAACUGAGGGCACUUACCGAAUGCCAGAACUUCAAGAUGAUUAUGGGUCUGAUCCUGUGUAAUCAUCAGUAGAUUACGAAAGCCACUGAGACGAAGGGUCCUGAGUGCUGGGAAGAAAUCUAGCGGAAAAGUCUUUUGAGAGUCAAAUCCAUUAUCACUCAUUUCACAAUCGCAAAACAUUUCAUAUUUCGGGCAACAAUAAAUAUUCAGUUCUUUCAAAGUAUCAGACUUUUCCAGCAACGAUGCUUUCAUGCUGUGUCCGCCCAUUCUGAGCUUUUCCAAAGAAGCCCAGUCAAGUUGCAGUUGCAGCUUUCCAGUGUCUUUCAGGUCUAGUACUAGAGCCCUGGGAGCUGAAGCCUCAAGUUGUUUGCACUCACUAAUUUCUAGCUCCUUUAAAGGAAGAAGUUGCUCUGGGAGGUCACCUUUCAGCUUUGGACAUUUGCUUAUAUCAAGAUAUUGAAGACAUGGAAAAGCACCUCUCACAGCUUCACAUUCCCAUUUUUCCCAUGCUUUCAUAGAGGAGAACUUCAAUGUUUCCAACGAUGGAAAUGAAGAGGAGCUAUUCCCAUGAAAAUCAGCACCAAUGCUCACUAUCCCAUCAAGACUUGAAAUCUCAAGUUUCUUGAGAAAUGGCAAAAGUCCAAGGGAAGGCAAAUGUUGGCAAGAUUGACAGUUUCUCAACUCUAAGGACACCACAUUUGAUAAAGAAUUAUUGGAUAACCAAUUAGGGAAUUGUUUACCACCAUAGUUCCUGAUUGACAACUUCUCCAGGUGUUUGGAAGGUUGUAGAUUCUCAAUUACAAUUACAUCCCUUUCUUUGGCAGAAUCAUCAGGGUUCCGGUGCGAAUUCCAUUCAAACUCUAGUUCCACAAGGCGUGUUU